UGUGUUAAAUCUUUUAUGGAUACCGAUAUUUUCCGUAAGUUUAGCACUAAAUAUGGACUUGAUUCUGAGAUAGUAGCUUCUUUCUAUGAAUCUUUUGCUACUUAUGUUGAUCUCCCUAAGGAGAAGUGGUUUAAAUAUCAUCCUCCCAUAGAAGUAAAAGUAGCUGCACCUAUUAAAGUUUAAGAAAAGACUGUCACUUAUAAUGAUCCUAUUGUUCCUACUUGUUAUGUUGAGAAACCACCUUUCCCUGUUAGGAUAAAGGAUCAUGCUAAAGCUUCAACUGUGGUUUGUAAAAGCAAUAUUAAAACAUAUACACCUCCUGAGCAAGUUAAAGUUGAACCUAAUAUUUCUAUUGUUAAAGAUCUCUUGUCUGAUAAUAUUGAUGGGCAUGUUAUUCAGUUCUGCGGUGAAACUGCUAGAAUUGCUAAACCUUGUGCUAAAGAUAAAAAUAGACCUAUGGUAGGCGUGCCUGUUAUUUCUGUUAAAAUAGGAGAACAUUGUUAUCAUGGCUUAUGUGAUAUGGGUGCUAGUGCUAGUGCAAUACCUAUUGACUUAUACAAAGAAAUUAUGCAUGACAUUGCACCUGUUGAGUUAGAAGAAAUUGAUGUUACUAUUAAACUUGCUAACAGAGAUACUAUUUCACCAAUAGGAAUUGUUAGAGAUGUUGAAGUCUUGUGUGGGAAAACUAAAUAUCCUGCUGUUUUUCUUGUUCUUGAUUCCCCACAAGAUAGCUUUUGUCCCAUUAUAUUUGGUAGACCCUUCUUAAAUAUUGUUAAUGCUACCAUAGAUUGCACAAGGGAUGUUGUUACUGUCGGCUUAGAUGAUAUGACUCAUGAGUUUAAUUUCUCUAAAUUUAGUAAACAACACCAUGAAGAAGAAUUGCCUAGUAAGGAUGAAAUUAUUGGUCUUGCUUCUAUUGUCGUACCUCCUAGUGAUCCUUUAGAACAAUAUUUGCUAGACCAUGAGAAUGAUAUGUUUAUGAAUGAAAGAAGGGAAAUAGAUGAAGUAUUCUUUAAACAGGAACCUAUUCUAAAACACAAUUUGCCUGUUGAAAUCCUAGGGGAUUCCCCUCCACCUAAGGGUGAUCCCACGUUUGAGCUUAAACCGUUGCCUGAUAAUCUUAAAUAUGCUUAUCUUGAUGAAAAGAAGAUAUAUCCUGUUAUUAUUAGUGCUAACCUUUCAGAGCAUGAAGAAGAAAGAUUAUUGAAAACUCUGAAGAAGCACUGUGCUGCUAUUGGAUAUACUCUUGAUGAUCUUAAGGGCAUUAGUCCCACUCUAUGUCAACAUAAAAUAAAUUUGGAAGCAGAUGCCAAGCCAGCUUGUGAUCCUCAACGAUGUCUGAAUCCUAAAAUGAAAGAAGUGGUAAGAAAAGAAAUACUAAAGCUUCUGGAGGCAGGUAUAAUUUAUCCCAUUGCUGAUAGUCAGUGGGUAAGUCCUGUUCAUUGUGUCCCUAAGAAGGGAGGUAUUACUUUUGUUCCUAAUGAUAAAGAUGAAUUGAUUCCACAAAGAAUUAUUACAGGUUAUAGGAUAGUAAUUGAUUUCUGCAAAUUAAAUAAGGCUACUAAGAAAGAUCAUUACCCCUUACCUUUUAUCGAUCAAAUGCUAGAAAGAUUAUGCAAGCAUACACAUUACUACUUUCUAGAUGGUUAUUCUGGUUUCUCUCAAAUACCUGUGUCGGCUAAAGAUCAAUCAAAGACUACUUUUACAUGCCCUUUUGGUACUUUUGCUUAUAGAUGUAUGCCUUUUGGUUUAUGUAAUGCACCUGCUACCUUUCAAAGAUGCAUGAUGGCUAUAUUCUCUGACUUUUGUGAAAAGAUUUGUGAGGUUUUCAUGGACGACUUUUCCGUCUAUGGAUCUUCUUUUGAUGAUUGCUUGAGCAAUCUUGAUCGAGUUUUGCAGAGAUGUGAAGAAACUAAUCUUGUCUUGAAUUGGGAAAAGUGCCACUUUAUGGUUAAUGAGGGUAUUGUCUUGGGGCAUAAAGUUUCUGGAAGAGGUAUUGAAGUUGAUAAAGCCAAGGUUGAUGCUAUUGAAAAGAUGCCAUGUCCCAAGGACAUCAAAGGUAUAAGAAGUUUCCUUGGUCACGCCGGAUUUUAUAGGAGGUUCAUUAAGGACUUCUCAAAAAUUUCUCGGCCUCUGACUAAUUUAUUACAAAAAGAUAUACCAUUUGUCUUUGAUGAGGAUUGUGUAGAAGCAUUUGAAAUACUUAAGAAAGCAUUAGUCUUUGCACCUAUUGUUCAGCCACCUGAUUGGAAUUUACCCUUUGAAAUUAUGUGUGAUGCUAGAGAUUAUGCUAUAGGUGAUGUUCUAGGGUAAAGAGUUGAUAAGAAAUUAAAUGUUAUCCAUUAUGCUAGUAAGACUCUAGACAAUGCUCAAAGAAAUUAUGCUACUACUAAAAAAGAACUUUUAGCAGUUGUAUUUGCUUGUGAUAAGUUUAGACCUUAUAUUGUUGAUUCUAAAGUAACUAUCCACACUGAUCAUGCUGCUAUUAAAUAUCUUAUGGAGAAGAAAGAUGAUAAACCUAGACUUAUUAGAUGGGUUCUCUUGCUACAAGAAUUUGAUUUGCAUAUUGUUGAUAGAAGAGGAGCUGAGAACCCCGUUGCAGACAACUUAUCUAGGUUAGAGAAUGUUCUUGAUGACCCACUACCUAUUGAUGAUAGCUUUCCUGAUGAAUAAUUAAAUGUCAUAAGUACUUCUCGUAGUACUCCUUGGUAUGCUGAUUAUGCUAAUUACAUUGUUGCUAAAUUCAUACCACCUAGCUUCACAUACCAACAAAAGAAAAAGUUCUUCUAUGAUUUGAGACAUUACUUUUGGGAUGGCCCACAUCUUUAUAAAGAAGGAGUAGAUGGUGUUAUUAGACGUUGUGUACCUAAGCAUGAACAGGAACAGAUCCUACACAAGUGCCACUCCGAAACUUAUGGAGGACACCACGUGGGAGAUAGAACUGCACAUAAGGUAUUGCAAUCCGGUUUUUAUUGGCCUACUCUCUUCAAGGAUGCCCGUAAGUUUAUCCUAUAUUGUGAUGAAUGUCAAAGAAUUGGUAAUAUUAGUAGAUGUCAGGAAAUGCCUAUGAAUUAUUCACUUGUUAUUGAACCUUUUGAUGUUUGGGGCUUUGAUUAUAUGGGACCUUUUCCUGCCUCUAAUGGAUAUACACAUAUUUUAGUUGCUGUUGAUUACAUUACUAAGUGGGUAGAAGCUAUUCCAACUAGUAGUGUUGAUCAUAACACUUCUAUUAAAAUGCUUAAAGAAGUUAUUUUUCCAAGGUUUGGAGUCCCUAGAUAUUUAAUGACUGAUGGUGGUUCACAUUUUAUUCAUGGUGCUUUCCGUAAAAUGCUUGCUAAAUAUGACGUCAAUCAUAGAAUUGCAUCUCCGUAUCACCCACAGUCUAGUGGUCAAGUAGAAUUGAGUAAUAGAGAACCCAAAUUAAUUUUGCAAAAGACUGUCAAUAGGUAUAGAAAGAAUUGGUCCAAGAAACUUGAUGAUGCAUUAUGGGCCUAUAGAACUGCAUAUAAAAAUCCUAUGGGUAUGUCUCCGUAUAAAAUGGUAUAUGGAAAAGCAUGUCACUUACCUCUCGAACUAGAACAUAAGGCAUAUUGGGCUAUUAAAGAGCUCAACUAUGAUUUCAAACUUUCCGGUGAAAAGAGGUUAUUUGAUAUUAGCUCACUUGAUGAAUGGAGAACCCAAGCUUAUGAAAAUGCCAAGUUGUUUAAAGAAAAGGUUAAAAGAUGGCAUGACAAAAGCAUACAAAAGCGUGAGUUUAAUGUAGGUGAUUAUGUAUUGCUAUACAACUCUCGUUUAAGAUUUUUUGCAGGAAAACUUCUCUCUAAAUGGGAAGGCCCCUAUGUUAUCGAGGAGGUCUAUCGUUCCAGUGCCAUAAAAAUCAACAACUUUGAAGGCACAAAUCCAAAGGUGGUAAACGGUCAGAGAAUCAAACAUUAUAUCUCAGGUAAUCCCAUAAAUGUUGAAACCAAUAUUAUUGAAACUGUAACCCCGGAGGAAUACAUAAGGGACACUUUCCAGAACGUUUCAGACUCCGAAAAGGAAUAGGUAUGUGGUACGGUAAGUAAACCGAUUCCAAAACAGUUUUUAAGGCAAUAUUUCUCCGUUUUGGAAUAUUUAGAAAAAUAGAAAAUUAAGUAGCAGUCCGGGAAGGACACGAGGGUGGAGGGCGCGCCCUACCCCCCUGGGCGCGCCCCCCUACCUCGUGAGCACCUUGUGUGCCUUCCGGACUCUGUUUUCCAGCAUGAUACGUAUUUUGGUCGGUAAAAAUUCACUAUAUAUUCUCCCGAAGGUUUUGACUCCCGUAUCACGCAAUUAUCCUCUGUUUUUGUUUUGAGCUGUCCCGCUGCAGAUUAGAUCAACAUGUCUUCCCAGGAUUCGGAAGGAGAAAGCUAUGUGGAUGAUUACUUAGCUAAUCCUAAGGUCUAUGGAGAUGUGGAGCAUGAUGGUUGGACCACGGAGGAAGAAGAGGACUAUGAACCCAAUGGGAAGGAGGAGACGAGCUCAGAUGAAGAUGAAGCCCCAUUGCCUCAACCUGGGGAUAUGCACGUGGAGUUCAAAAAGUCAAGUCUCCCUGAUAGGGUAAAGAAACCAAAAUUCGAGUUUACCCCUUUUCGUCUCUUGCAGGAAAAUAAGCAGGACCUAUGCAAAAAGAUAUUAACCCUGGAGUGGGAGAUUGAUGAUCUGAGGGAUCAAAAUGCCAUCCUCAAGCGUAAAUUAAGGGAGAAGUCUAUGCCAUCAACUAAGUCAACAACACCUCCACCUUCUUCACCAACCAAGGAGAUAUAAUCACAUGGGUAUGGGCACUCCCCUUGGCAACCGCCAAGCUUGGGGGAGGUGCCCCGGUAUUGUAUCACAAUCACAACUCCUAUCUUUACUGUUUUCCUUAGUUCAAUCCUAUUAGUAGUAUUUUGAUCUAGUAGAAUAAAGUUUGUGGCAUGAUCUAGUUUUGAGUUUUGCCUUAUGAUCUCUCUACGUAAUUGAGUCCGUGAGCUAUAUAAUAAAGACUAGUGUUGAGUCAACGGCUUGAUUUUCUUGCUAUGAUCUUGGGUGAAUAAAAGAAAAGAGAAAAAGAAUAAGAAGAAACAAGAGAUCAUAUUGAUCUUAUUGAUAGUAAUGACUUCACAUAGAAAGAGUGUGACGAUUAAAAGUUGUUGGGAGUUGGCAGACAUAGCUUUGGUCAUCGUUGCAAUUAAUAGGAAGUAAUAAGGAAAGAGAGGUUUCACAUAUAAAUAUACUAUUAUUGACAUCUUUUAUGAUUGGGAGCACUCAUCAAAAUAUGACAUGCUAAAGAGUUGAUGUUGGACAAGGAAGACAACGUAAUGGGUUAUGUUUUCUUAUAUCUGAGAUAAAGUAUGUUGUCAUGGAUCAUCCAACAUGUUGAUCUUGCCUUUCCCGCUCAUGCUAGCCAAAUUCUCAGCACCAAGUAGAGAUACUACUUGUGCUUCCAAAUACCCUUAAACCAGUUUUGCCAUGAGAGUCCACCAUAUCUACCUAUGGAUUGAGUAAGAUCCUUCAAGUAAGUUGUCAUCGGUGCAAAGCAAUAAAAAUUGCUCUAAAUAUGUAUGAUUAGUGUGGGAGAAAUAAUCUUUAUACGAUCUUGUGAUGUGGAAGUAAUAAAAGCGACGGACUGCGUAAUAAAGGUUCAUAUCACAAGGGGCAAUAUAAAGUGACGUUGUUUCGCAUUAAGAUUUUGUGCAUCCAACCAUAAAAGCGCAUGGCAACCUCUGCUUCCCUCUGUGAAGGGCCUAUCUUUUAUUAUUACCUUCUACCUUAUGCAAGAGUCAUGGUGAUCUUCACCUUUCCUUUUUACAUUUUAUCCUUUGGCAAGCACAGUGUGUUGGAAAGAUCCUAGUAGAUAUAUCUAAUUGGAUGUAGGGGGGCAUGAGUUAUUAUUGUUGACAUUACCCUCGAGGUAAAGGUUGUGGGGCGAAACUAUAAGCCCCUAUCUUUCUCUGUGUCCGAUUAAAACUCCGUAACCACAAGUAUUGUGUGAGUGUUAGCAAUUAUGAAGGACUCGAUGAUAGUUGAGUAUGUGGACUUGCUUUUUAGCUCUGACAUAGACUCUUUCUGAUGUUAUGAUAAAUUGCAAUUGCUUAAAUGACUGAGGUUAUAGUUUGUUGGUUCUCAAUAAGGUUUCUGAUUCAUACUUUUGCAUUGUGAAUAGAUCAUCACUUGAACAUAAGUAAUCAUAUGACAAUAUCUAUAUAUGUUGCUGUUAUGAGAAUAAUCAUGAUGCCUUCAUGUCCGUAUUUUAUUUUUAUCGACGCCUCUACCUCUAAACAUGGGGACAUAUUUAUUGUUAUCGGCUUUCGCUUGAGGACAAGCGAGGUCUAAGCUUGGGGGGUUGAUACAUCCAUUUUGCAUCAUGCUUUUAUAUCGAUAUUUAUUGCAUUAUGGGCUGUUAUUUCACAUUAUGUCACAAUAUUUAUGGCUAUUCUCUCUUAUUUUACAAGGUUUACAUAAGGAGGGAGAAUGCCGGCAGCUGGAAUUCUGGGCUGGAAAAGGAGCAAAUAUUAGAGACCUAUUCUGCACAAAUCCAAAAGUCCUGAAACUCCACAGAAUACCUUAUAAUAAAUAAUGAAAAAUCCAUGCCAAAGAUGAAGACCAGGGGGCCCACACCCUGUCCACAAGGGUGCCCCCCCCCUAGGGUGCACCCCCUACCUCGUGGGCACCCUGGUGGCUCUCUGAUGACCAUCUUCUGCUAUAUGAAGUCUUUCAUCGAGAAAAAAAUAAGAAGCAACCUUUCGGGAUGAAACUCCGCCGCCACGAGGCGAAACCUUGGCGGAACCAAUCUAGGGCUCCGGCAGAGCUGUUCUGCCGGGGAAACUUCCCUCCCGGAGGGGGAAAUCAUCGCCAUCGUCAUCACCAACACUCCUCUCAUCAGGAGAGGGCAAUCUCCAUCAACAUCUUCAUCAGCACCAUCUCAUCUCAAAACCCUAGUUCAUCUCUUGUAUCCAAUUCUUGUCUCCAAGUCCGGGAUUGGUGCUAGUAGGUUGCUAGUAGUGUUAAUUACUCCUUGUAGUUGAUGCUAGUUGGUUUAAUUGGUGGAAGAUCAUAUGUUCAGAUCCUUUAUGCAUAUUAUUACCCCUCUGAUUAUGAACAUGAAUAUGCUUUGUGAGUAGUUACGUUUGUUCCUGAGGACAAGGGAGAAGUCUUGCUAUUAGUAGUCAUGUGAAUUUGGUAUUCGUUCGAUAUUUUGAUGAGAUGUAUGUUGUCUAGCCUCUAGUGGUGUUAUGUGAACGUUGACUACAUAACACUUCACCAUUAUUUAGGCCUAGAGGAAGGCAUUGGGAAGUAAUAAGUAGAUGAUGGGUUGCUAGAGUGACAGAAGCUUAAACCCUAGUUUAUGCGUUGCUUCGUAAGGGGCUGAUUUGGAUCCAUAUGUUUCAUGCUAUGGUUAGGUUUACCUUAAUACUUUUGUUGUAGUUGCGGAUGCUUGCAAUAGAGGUUAAUCAUAAGAGGGAUGCUUGUUCAAGUAAGAACAUCACCCAAGCACUGGUCCACCAACAUGUCAAAUUAUCAAAGUACCGAACGCGAAUCAUAUGAACGUGAUGAAAACUAGCUUGACGAUAUUCCCAUGUGUCCUCGGGAGCGCUUUUCCUUAUAUAAGAGUUUGUCCAGGCUUGUCCUUUGCUACAAAAAGGAUUGGGCCACCUUGCUGCACUUUAUUUACUUUUGUUACUUGAUGCUCAUUACAAAUUAUCUUAUCACAAAACUAUCUGUUACCACUUAUUUCGGUACUUGCAGAGAAUACCUUGCUGAAAACCGCUUAUCAUUUCCUUCUGCUCCUCAUUGGGUUCGACACUCUUACUUAUCGAAAGGACUACGAUAGAUCCCCUAUACUUGUGGGUCAUCACUCACCUCGGGCUCCCUCUUCGGUACUUCUUUGGCCCACUGGGUGUCUUCUGGUCCAAAAAAAUCCACAAAAAGUUUUGUUGCGUUUGGACUCCGUUUGGUACUGAUUUCCUGCGAUGUAAAAAACAUGGAGAAAACAACAACUGGCACUUGGCACUAUGUCAAUAGGUUAGUACCAAAAAAUGGUAUAAAGUGAUUAUAAAACAUCCAAGAAUGAUAAUAUAACAACAUGGAACAAUAAAAAAUCAUAGAUACGUUGGCCAAAGAAUAUUUACAAGUAUUAGCAGUUGAGUUGUCAAUUCAACCACAUUUGGAGAACUAAAUAUCUGCAGCAAAGUGAUCAGUAACACAAUAGUAUGAUAGUUUGAUAGCAAUGGUAACAAUAGCAAUAGUAAUGGUAACAGUAACAGCUUUGUAGUGAUUGUAACAGCAGCAUCAAUGAUAAUUACUUAGCAAAGAUCAAUGUAUGAAAAGCAUAGGCAUUGGAUCAGUGAUGGAUAUUUGUGUUGGAUGACGUUCAUCAUGUAACAGACACAACCUAGAGUGAUACACAAUAGCUCCAAUUCAUCAAUGUAAUGUAGGCAUGUAUUCCGUAUAUAAUCAUACAUGCUUAUAAUAAGCACUUGCAUGACAUCUUUUGUUCUACCCUCACAUGGCAGCGGGGUCCAUAUAAGGAAACUAAGGGAUAUUAAGACCCCCUUUUAAUAGAGAGCCGGAGCAAAUCAUUAACACAGAGUGAAUACAUGAACUCCUCAAACUACGGUAAUCACCAGAAAGAAUCCCAAAAUUGUCGCUUUGGGGUAUGCAGAUCAUAACAUGUCAUAGGUGCAUAUAACUUGCAAGAUAGGAUUAAGAACUCAAAUAUAUGCAUGAAAACAUAAAGGGUUAAGAUCGGAAAUCAUGGCACUCGAGCCCUAGUGAUGAGCAUUAAGCAUAGCAAAUUCAUAGCAACAUCAAUCUCAGAACAUAGUGGAUACUAGGGAUCAAGCCCUAACAAAUUGACUCGAUUACAUGACAAAUCUCAUCCAACUCCAUCACCGUCCAGCAAGCCUACGAAGGAAUUACUCACUCCUGGUGGUGAGCAUCAUGAAAUUGGUGAUGAAUAAGGGUUGGUGAUGAUGAUGGCGAUGAGUCCCCCUCUCUGGAGGCCCAAGCGGACUCCAGAUCAGCCCUCACGAAGAAGAACAGGAGGUGGCGGCAGCUCCGUUUCGUAAAACGAUGAUUCCUUCUCCCUGAUUUUUCUCCCUGAAUAGGUAUAUAUGGAGCCAGAGUUAGGGUUGUCGGAGGCUCUAGGGGCCCACAAGCCUGCCAGGCGCGCCCCUUGGGCUUAUUAUGGCACCUGGGUGGCCUGCUACUUGUGAGCUACGUUGGGAUUUCCUCGAAGAGGAGAGGAUGAUGCAGUAUAGUAGAGAUAAGUAUUUCCCUCAGUUAAGAACCAAGGUUAUCAAUCCAGUAGGAGAACCACGCAAAACCUCGUUAAUAACACCUACACACAAAAGAGCAAAUACUUGCACCCAACGCAAAUAAGGGGGUUGUCAAUCCCCUUGGCAGCUAUUUGCAAGGAUCAAAUCUAAUAGUGAUAGAUAGAUAAUAUAAAACACAAAAUAAAAUAAUGGUAAACAAAUUACAACAAGGUAUUUUUGGAUUUCAAUAUAUGAUAAAAGUAGACCCGGGGGCCAUAGUUUUCACUAGAGGCUUCUCUCUCGAACGAAAAGCAUACAGUGGGUAAACAAAUUACUGUUGGGCAAUAAAGCGCAUAAUUAUGACGAUAUUCAAGGCAAUGAUCAUGUAUAUAGGCAUCACGUCCGAGACAAGUAGACCGAGUCCUGCCUACAUCUACUACUAUUACUCCACCCAUCGACCACUAUCUGACAUGCAUCUAGAGUAUUAAGUUCAUAAGAAAUGGAGUAACACCUUAAGCAAGAUGACAUGAUGUAGACAAAGUAAACCCAAUCAAUAUUAAUAAACCCUGUCGUUUUCCCCUUAAUGGAAACAAUACAAAUACAUGUCUUGUCCCCUACCUUGUCAUUGGGAUACAGAGCACGACAAGAUUGACGCAUUACAAAGCACCUCUCCCAUUGCAAGAUAAAUCAAUCUAGUUGGCCAAACCUAACAGAUAGAUCAGAGAGAAAUACAAAGCUAUAAUAAUCAUGCAUAAAAGAAUUCAGAGAAGACUCAAUUAAUAUUCAUGAAAAAUAUGAUCAUAAACCCACAAUUCAUCGGAUCCGAGCAAACACACUGCAAAAGAAGAUUACAUCGAAUAGAACUCCAAGAACAUCAAGGAGAACAUUGUAUUGAAGAUCAAAGAGAGAGAAGAAGCCAUCUAGCUACUAGCUAUGGACCCGUGGGUUUAUGGUAAAGUACUCACACAUCAUCGGAAGGGCAGCAAUGUUGAUGUAGGAGCCCUCCGUGAUCGAUCCCCCUCCCGUGGAGUACCAGAAAAGGCCUCUAGAUGGGAUCACGGAAGAAAAGAAACUUGCGGCAGCGGAAAAAGUAUUUUGGAUGGCUCUCUAUUGGUUUCCAGAUUUUAGAGAAUUUAUAGAGCUAGAAUUAGGUCAAACGAAGCCUCGAGGGACCCAAAGGUACUAGGGCGUGCCCUAGUGCCUUGCUGUCUACUCGUUUGCCUUCUGGUCUCUUCCCGGAGCUUCUAGGGUCUCUCUUGUCACUAGAGACUUCUCUCUCGAACAAAAAGCAUACGGUGGGUAAACAAAUUACUGUUGGAAAAUUGAUAGAAAAGCGUGAAGUUAUGAUAUAUCUAAGGCAAUGAUCAUGAAUAAUCAUGAAUAUAGGCAUCACGUCCGUGACAAGUAGACCGACUCCUGGGCAGGAGUCGGUUUACUUGUCACGGACGUGAUGCCUAUAUUCAUGACCAUUGCCUUAGUAAUUUGUUUACCCACCGUAUGCUUUCUUCAAGAGAGAAGCCUCUAGUGAAACCUAUGGCCCCCGGGGUAUAUUUUUCAUCAUAUAUUUUCAGAUCUAUAAAACCAAAACCCCAAAGAUACCUUAAUAUAAUUUAUUUAUAUUUACUUUAUUUUGCCUUCUAAUUAUCUUUUAUAUCUAUCUCUAUUAGAUCGCACUCUUGCAAGUGGCCGUGAAGGGAUUGACAACCCCUUUUUUGCGUUGUGUGCAAGUGUUUGUUAGUUUGUGCAUGUGCAUAUAUUGGGGACUUGCUUGUACCUCCUACUCGAUUGAUACCUUGGUUCUUAACUGAGAGAAAUACCUAUCUCUACUUUGCUGCAUCACCCUUUCCUCUUCAAGGAAAAAAUCAACGCAAGCUCAAGAAGUAGCAAGAACGCCUGAAUAGAGGUAGAGAGGUGCCACUCGGAUUCCUCGCUAUCACCGUGCCAUUGCGAGCAUGCACAACCACCAUAUUGUGGAUCAAAUCCUGAUAAGGAUGAUGGAAGGUGCAAAUUAAGAACAGAAGGAGAAAACCAAUAUUCUCUCAAUAUUGAACAAAAUUUCAACUCACCCAUAGAUGCAACAUGAACCUAGGCGAUUGAAUCUCUUGUUCAUGAUGUAAUGAAAAAUAGGAUGAUGCCAAUGAGGUUAGGAUUUGAGACACCUCUUACCAAAGGAAGCAGAGAUACAAGAGAAUGUGCAGAUUUCUUUUGUUGAUAACGACAAACCAGAAGUUGCAGAGGUUAGAAUAUAAGGAAUCACUCAGAUAUGGAGAGGAAGCAGGUUCGUCCGACGCAGUGGGGUAAGGUCUGGUGGGUGAGGUGCAACAAGAUCAGGCGUCGUGCGUGGAUGGUGAGGUGGCGGCAAACCAGGGGCCAAAUGUGCGGCGCGUCGGUUGACGCAGUGGGCGACGAUGUGUGGGCACCCGGAAGAAGCUGGCUCGUGCGUCCCCGACGGUGGCUCGCGUUCCUGGCAAUGACAUGCGCCUCGGGCGUCCCAACGGCGGGCCCUUGCACUAAUAGGGAAAACCUUAUACACAGAAGCUUACCAGUAGCGCCGGUAAAAAAAUCGUUGCUGCUAUUUACCCAUAGCGCCUAGUCACAAAACGCGCUACAACUAAGGUUAUAGCAGUAGUGCUAAAACGAUCGAUAUGGUUGGCUAGAGGGGGGUGAAUAGGCAACUAACAAUUUUUAACUUUUCUUUACCAAAUUCAACUUUGCAUCAAAGUAGGUUGUCUAGAUGUGCAACUAGGUGAGCAACCUAUAUGAUGCAACAACAACGAACAUACAAGCAAGCAAGAGAAGUAACACUAAUAAGCUUGCACAAGUAAAGGUAAGAGAUAACCAAGAGUGGACCCGGUGAAGACGAGGAUGUGUUAUCGAAGUUCCUUCCUUUGAGGGGAAGUAUGUCUCCGUUAGAGCGGUGUGGAGGCACAAUGCUCCCCAAGAAGCCACUAGGGCCACCAUAUUCUCCUCACGCCCUCACACAAUGCGAGAUGCCAUGAUUCCACUAUUGGUGCCCUUGGAGGCGGCAACCGGACCUUUACAAACAAGGUUGGGGUAAUCUCCACAACUUAAUCGGAGGCUCCCAACAACACCACGAAGCUUCACCACAAUGGACUAUGGCUCCGUGGUGACCUCAACCGUCUAGGGUGCUCAAACACCCAAGAGUAACAAGAUCCGCUAGGGAUAGGUGGGGGAAUCAAAUAUCUCUUGGUGGAAGUGUAGAUCGGGGCCUUCUCAACCACUACCGAGCAAAUCAACAAGUUUGAUUGGCUAGAGAGAUAGAUCGGGCGAAAAUGGAGCUUGGAGCAUUAAUGGAGCUUGAGGGGGGAAAGGUAGGUCAAUGAAGAAGAAGGGGACCCCCUUUUAUAGUGGGGGUAACAAUCCAACCGUUACCCCACAAAACAGCCCCGCAGAGGGCGGUACUACCGUAGUGGGCAGUGGUACUACCUCUCCCCCUUACGGUACUACCACCCAGACAGAGAGAGCAUGAAGGCAGAGGAGGGGCUGGCCCCGCGCGGUACUACAGGACAGACCCAGCGUGGUACUGCCGCGGUGGCAGGGCGGUGCUACCGCUCUCGAGCAGUACUACUGCACCUACUACCGCUGCAGGUGCCGCUCAACCCGACAUGAGAAGUGCCCCCCUCGAGUCGAGGCAGCAGUGGCCCGGUACCGCAGCGGUACUGCCGCUGAGGACGCACAAGCGGUACUACCGCUGGGCACCGCGGUACUACCGCUGGGGCUAAAGACGGCUCAAUCUGCAGGGGAAAAGACCUCCAACGAUGCGGGAAGGCCCAGAGGGUGCGAAAUGAAAGUGUACGUGAUGAUUCCACCCUAGUCAUACCAAAGUGGACCCCCUCUUGAUAGUACGGUGACUCCUAAGAAACUAGUCCACCAACAAGAAACGAAAGAGCUACACCGUCUUGAAAAACACUCCGAGGGGAAAGAAAUCAUCUCGAGCCAAAGGAUGAAUCUCUGAAACGCUCAACACACAAGGUUAGUCCGCAAAUAUGUUGUCAUCAAUCACCAAAACUACAUCGAGAGAGAUAUGCCUUAACAAUCUCCCCCUUUUUGGUGGAUUGAUGACAACCAGGGAUUUUCACAGGGAAAAGACAUAAAAGUCAGGAUACUUAGAACUACAAAAUAUAGACGGGCUCCUCCUGAAUGUGUGCACCUAGUUAGUAGUGCCUUUGGAAUGCACGACACACACAUUCGGAUCAACACUCCCCCUAUAUUUUAUAGUCCAAAAUUUUUAAGCACGGGAUACAUGAGAGCAGGGUAAUAAAACAGGAUAAGCAUGCAACUCAUAAGAUACUACAGUACUGAAUAGACAUAGAUAAUAAGGUAAAGAUAGGGUAGCAUAUGUCUCACACCAUAUGUCUAGAACUUAGGUCUCACUGGCACCAAACCAAACCAAGCAAAGACAACGAGAAAACACAAGACACUACAAACCACAAAGACACACUCGCAACACGGCAAAGACACAAAUCCCGAAACUCUCUCCCCCUUUGGCAGCGAGACACCAAAAGGGCAAAGAGCGUUGCUACGGCUCCAGGUGAUGGCAAGCUAAGGAUCUCGAACAUCACAUCUCAGCGUGAUCGUCUGCACCUCCGUCGUCAGUCGAAAACUGCUCGGCGUUUGAAUCGGUCCAAGGGCAAUGCUGGUGAAUCCAUUCCUCCUCUUCAGUGAUCUGGCCCUCAGAACCGCUAGCAACGGUCGCACCCAGCUGACGCAUGAGCUCCUUGUGACGCCCCCUGGCCUGCUUCUCAGCCACAUGAGUCAUGUACUGACCAUGAGACUCCAGGCAGAAGAGCUUCUUCAUCUUGCGUUUAAGCUUCUUUGCCCAAGAGGGUUCUGCACUAGAAGGCCCAAAGUCCUCAUCGUGAUCAUCAGCCGCAGCCCCACCCUCGAUCUCCAUGUCAGCAGCAGUAGAUGGACCCCCGGGUUUAGGCGCUGGGGUGCCCCAAUUGUCCUUCUUCCUCAGACGCUUGAUCUCAUGAGAAACCAAUUCUCCAGUUUCCAACAUCUCCUUGGGAUAGACACAUGCCCAGGCCUUCUUAAUGAGCCUCAUGAUGAAUGGACCAUAUAUCGGGCACUUGCGAUCAGAAAUGGCAGAGAGAAGUUCAGACCACAUAACAUGAGAAAUGUCUAGGCACUCUCCAGUGUUUGCUUCCUUCUCAUGCUGGCAGAAAAGAAGCAUGUCCACGAGAUAGGAGUGGACCAUAUCCAGAUUCCCGAUGUGAGGGAAGAGAGUCUCACGGAAGACACGAUGAAGGAUGUCCAUAUAGGCAGACAGCUCAUGUGUUUCCUUCUUAGUCACCGGGUGAACCUUCACAGUACAGUAGGGCCAAAGGGCUUGCUUGUGAGUGGAUGUAGCAUUGUGGUGAGGGCGGAAGCCGACUGGAGUCUCAAGCCCGUGAUCUUCCACCUCAAUUAAUGCCAUGAAGGCCUGCCACUUGACGGAAAGUAACUUGCCAUUGGUCAUCCAAGUCAGAGUCCUGUCGGCAUCAGUUCCAAGAUGAACAGUAGCAAAGAAUUGAGCCACCAAAUCUGCAUCAAAAUCCUUGUUGAACUGCAUGAUCCUGAGAAUGUUCAGCUGAGAACACAUCUGAAGGGCUUAGCCAAAGAACUCAGGGUCCUUCUCCAUAGCAUCCGUGUCGAUGGAGCGUACAUCAACAUAGAGAUUCUUCUUGGCCUUGAUCACAUCAAAAUAGAUGGAAAACUGAAAGCGAUUCUAGAGCGGGCGGUUAACCAAAGUGGGAUCUUGGUCUUCCUCAUAGGGGUUGCGGCGACGCUUUGCCCAAAACUCCUUGGCAGUCAUCUCAGUCACAGUCUUUCCCUUUGGCUUGUUGGCGGAUCUCUUUGACUGCUGAGGUGGUGGUGGAGCACUUGAGGUUGCGCCUGCUGGCGGUGGUUGAGUACUAGAGGAACCACUUGCUGACUCAGAAGUGCGGUAGCGCUUUGACGUUGCACGACCGGGGUUGACACGGCGGACCUGCUGCUCAGGAUGAUCAUCACCUGAAACCAAACACACGACCAGAAGAAACACACGAAAGAAAGAGCAUAAGCCACUAAACAAAACAACAAGGAUCAAAGCGUGGUAGGAAAAAGAUGGAAUUGGGCAUUUAGCGGUAGUACUGCGACCAACCAGCGGCAGUACCGCUCCAGCGGUAGUACCGUGAAACAAGAGCGGCAGUACCGCUUGAGCGGUAGUACCGCUCGAGGAGAGCGGUAGUGCCGCACCAGAUGGGGAACGGCGGUUCCCUACCACCGUGGUCAGAUCCGGCACUACCGGAGAUGCCAAAUUCAAAAAGAAACCUACCAAAAUUCUAUCCACAGUGCCUAGAAGCCAUAUCCAUCCUACUCAAGCCUUGCCUUAGCCAAAAGACGGGAAGAACAAUGCCUAUUGCCCCUAAAAACUAGAUGCAAGAUCUAGGCAAAGAGAGAACGGGAACGGGGGCAAUACCGGCAUCCAUGGCAAGAGGACGAGGUGGGGAUUGACUCCACCGGAGGAAAUGGAGAGGGACGGCACAAAAACGACGGCCGGCCGGGCCCCUCCUACGGCGAGAGGUUGCAGGAGCAACGAAGAAGACGAGUGGGGGCGAAUGGGUAUGGGGGAGAAGCAACUCCCCAUGCCCCGACAUAACCCCCAGUCGCCCACCCCGCGGCGGUAGUACCGCUGGGUGGGCGGUAGUACCGCUUGACUUGUCAGCGGUAGUGCUGCUCACACAGCGGUAGUAUCGCUCUGCCGCAAAAAGGGCCGACCAAACCGGGCAGAACACACGAGAGGAAACCGAGACAAAACAAGAACUCACACACACACAAAACUGACAAAAAUAAAAGGACACACACCUCUCCAAGAGAGGACGGUGGCCGAGGCCACCUAUGUUCGAGUUUAGAGGUAUGGCGCCGCGAAGAUUUUAACCUUGGGCCCAUGACCAACACUCAUCUUUGAAGCACAAGUACCAUAAAAAAUGGCUAAUGUGAAAGAGUUUGGUUAGUUUAUGCAUUAUGGGGGAAGGGAAAGUUCAUUGAUAGAACAACACUCCCCCUAUGUCCAUGCCUACACCUAAACUAGUGUGACGCCCCCGAUUCAAUCGUACACUAAUCAUGCACGCAAAUGUGUACGAUCAAGAUCAGGGACUCACGGGAAGAUAUCACAACACAACUCUAAAACAUAAAUAAGUCAUACAAGCAUCAUAAUACAAGCCAGGGGCCGCGAGGGCUCGAAUACAAGUGCUCGAUCAUAGACGAGUCAGCGGAAGCAACAAUAUCUGAGUACAGACAUAAGUUAAACAAGUUGCCAUAAGAUGGCUAGCACAAACUGGGAUACAGAUCGAAAGAGGCGCAGGCCUCCUGCCUGGGAUCCUCCUAACUACUCUUGGUCGUCGUCAACGGGCUGCACGUAGUAAUAGGCACCUCUAGUGUAGUAGUCGUCGUCGACGGUGGCGUCUGGCUCCAGGGCUCCAGCAUCUGGUUGCGACAACCAGGAAGGAAGGAAAGGGGAAAAAGGGGGGAGAAAGCAACCGUGAGUACUCAUCCAAAGUACUCGCAAGCAAGGAGCUACACUACAUAUGCAUGGGUAUAUGUGUAAAGAGGCCAUAUCAGUGGACUGAACUGCAGAAUGCCAGAAUAAGAGGGGGAUAGCUAAUCCUGUCGAAGACUACGCUUCUGGCAGCCUCCGUCUUGCAGCAUGUAGAAGAGAGUAGAUUGAAGUCCUCCAAGUAGCAUCUCCAAGUAGCAUAUCCAGGUAGCAUCUCCAAGCGCAUCUCCAGUCGCAUCGCAUAGCAUAAUCCUACCCGGCGAUCCUCUCCUCGUCGCCCUGCGGAAAAGCGAUCACCGGGUUGUCUGUGGAACUUGGAAGGGUGUGUUUUAUUAAGUAUCCGGUUCUAGUUGUCAUAAGGUCAAGGUACAACUCCAAGUUGUCCUGUUACCGAAGAUCACGGCUAUUCGAAUAGAUUAACUUCCCUGCAGGGGUGCACCACAUAACCCAACACGCUCGAUCCCAUUUGGCCGGACACACUUUCCUGGGUCAUGCCCGGCCUCGGAAGAUCAACACGUCGCAGCCCCACCUAGGCAAAACAGAGAGGCCAGCACGCCGGUCUAAACCUAAGCGCACAGGGGUCUGGGCCCAUCGCCCAUAGCACACCUGCACGUUGCGAGGGCGGCCGGAAGCAGAACUAGCCCCCUUAAUACAAGAGCAGGCUUACGUUCCAAUCCGGCGCGCGCCGCUCCGUCGCUGACGUCUGAAGUGCUUCGGCUGAUACCACGACGCCGGGAUACCCAUAACUACUCCCACGUAGAUGGUUAGUGCGUAUAGGCUCGUAGCCAGACUCAGAUCAAAUACCAAGAUCUCGUUAAGCGUGUUAAGUAUCCGCGAACGCCGAACAGGACCAGGCCCACCUGUGUCCUAGGUGGUCUCAACCUGCCCUGUCGCUCCGCCACAAGUAACAGUCGGGGGCCGUCGGGAACCCAGGCCCACCUCUACCGGGGUGGAGCCACCUAUCCUUUCAGCCCCCAACUCUGAACAGUAUCACAGGUAAUGUAACAGUGUAAAGUAUAUAGUAUAUGCCCGUGAUCACCUCCCGAAGUGAUCACAGCCCAGUAGUAUAGCAUGGCAGACGGACAAGAGUGUAGGGCCACUGAUGGAACACUAGCAUCCUAUACUAAGCAUUUAGGAUUGCGGGUAAGGUAUCAAUGACUGUAGCAGCAAUGACAGGCUAUGCAUCAGAAUAGGAUUAACGGAAAGCAGUAACAUGCUACACUACUCUAAUGCAAGCAGUAUAGAGAAGAGUAGGCGAUAUCUGGUGAUCAAAGGGGGGGCUUGCCUGGUUGCUCUGGCAAGAGAGAGGGGUCGUCAACUCCGUAGUCGAACUGGUCAGCAGCAGCGUCGGUCUCGUAGUCUACCGGAGAGAAGAGGGGGAAGAAAUAAUGAAUACAGAGCAAACAAAGCACCACAAAAUAUAUCAAGGCAAUACGCGGUGUUCGGUGUGCCCUAACGCGGUAGUAGGUGAUACCGGUGAAGGGGGGGAAACCCCCGGGAAAGUAUUCCCGGUGUUUCGUGUUUUCGGGCAGAGGAGCCGGAGGGGGAAAGUUGCGGGUUCGAUAGGUUAGGGGUGUGUGGCGGACGAACGGACCGCGUAUCCGGAUUCGUCUCGUCGUUCUGAGCAACUUUCAUGUUGAAAAUAUUUUAAUCCGAGUUACGGAUUAAAAGAUAUGAUUUUCUAAAGAUUUAUUAAUUUCUGGAAUUUAAUUAAUUAUUUAAUCCAACAUUAUCCAGAAUAGUAAAUGAUGACGUCAGCAUGACAUCAGAGUGAUGUCAGCAGUCAACGUUGACCAUUGACCUGGUCAACCUGACGUGUGGGUCCCUCUGUCAUUGACUAAGAUUAACUAAAACAGAUUAAUUAGUUUAAUUAGUGAUUAGGUUAAUCUAAUCAGGAUUAAUUAACUUAAUUAAUUACUUAAUUAAUUAAUUAAUAUUUUACUUAUUUUAAUUACUAUUUAUUUAUUUAUUUAAUAUUUUUUAAUUCCUUUUUUUUUACGUUCUAGGGGACGGCCCCACAUGUCAUAGGCCAGGGGCCAUAGCGGGUGUGGGCUAACGGGUUAACGGGCGAGCCCAGAUGGGCAACCGAGCGGGCGUUGUGGUCAGCGAGAGAAGGGGCGGGCGCGCGGCGCGACGCCGGCGAACGCAGAGGCGGGGUUGUGGUGUGAGGGUCGGGCGUGGUGAACGGGACAGCACGGGAGCCGGGUUGGCACGGCGCAGCGGCUCCGACGAGCGGUGGCGAGGGGACGAGGUCCAACAGGGCACAGCAGAAGCAGUUGCAGCAGCUAGGAGCAGGGGGGCACGGCGGGGCGCAGUGACCGCGGGCGUGGCCGGACCCCAUCGAGGGCGCGGUGGCCGCGAUGAUAGAGAGGAAAGGGGGGCGAGGAAGUAGGGAAGGCGAAGGCCGGGGGCCUCACCAACGUUGCAGGGAAGAGGCAGCGAGGCCUGGGGUAGACCGUCGACGAGGAGAUGAGGAGGUCCGGUGGGAAGGUCUGGCGACGGCGAGGCCUUCAGGCGGCGAGGGAGGAGCCUCUGCGCGGCGGUGGCGCGAGGACGCCGAUAGGCGGGGGAUCCCCCGGCGCGGGCGCGGCAGCGGUGGUGGGGCUCCGGUGCGGCAGGGGAUGGCGAUGGGGCGCAGGUGCGACGGCGGCGGGGCUGGGCGACGGGCGGCAUCGGGGUCGGGCCCCUCCCCGAUCCAGAUGGGAUCGAGAGGAGAGGGGGGAGAGGGAGAGGCGAGCGAGUGGGGGAGUGGGGGUAUCGGUGGGUUAGGGUUUGGCCAGGGGGGGCUAGUAGGCGCGGGUGGGCCGGCUUGGUUGGCCCGAUGGCCAGUUGGGCCGAGGCCUAGUGGGGGGGAGGGGGCAGGCUUUUGUUUUUUUGUUAGGUUCUGCUUUUCUUUUUAUUUAAUUGUUUUGUUGCUUCCAUCCACUAUAAAAUAUCUAGGCAUUUUAUAAAAAUGUGUUUAUUGCACCAUAUUUACAUAUGCAAAUUAUGGCACCGUCCGAACAUUUUUGUUUAAUAUUUUGAAAGCUUUUGUCGUUUGACUUAGUUAGGAUUUAAAUUUGAAUCGGUUUCGAAUUAACCCGAGAUUAACUACAGUGACAGAGGUGACGUGUCACCAUUAACGUGAAAUUACUGUAGCAUGAUUAUCCGGGCGUCACAAUUCUCCUCCACUACAAGAAAUCUCGUCCCGAGAUUUAAGCGGUGGAGUAAGGGGCGAAGGUGUUGGUAGCGAAAAACCUAACGAGUCUUCUCGGUCUUGGCUUCCCUUUCGAAGAGGUUGAUCCCUUUCGUUGAUGUCUUCAUUUCACUGCUUCAAGUCACCAUGAUCAAUUUGUCAUCCUUUCUUCGGGAUCUCCAUCGUACUUACGAAUAGGUAAGGGGCAGCUCCACAACGAUAGGAUGUUACAAGGGAAAAUCUUCUGGGGGUUUCCCAAGUAUGAACAUAUGAGUAUCUCUCGAGUUGAACAAAUGAAACACAUCGAGAGCAAAGUAAGACGGUGCAAUAAGAAGUUUCAAGCGGAUAGGCAAUCGUUCAUUGCCUGAAACAAAGUGUGAAUGGGGUUCAGAGCAACGGGAAUAAGCAUUGCGUCUGAUACCAGAAUAGAUCACUAGGAAGGUGGCUCGUGAUCUUUCAUACGAAGCCAAGCGUGAGGAUUAGCUUUAGUAACAGGGGUGCAGGAGAGUCAGGUUUCGAUCCUGUGGAACUGUGGGUUAUGGGCCCACCAUGUGGUUGAAAGUAGGAAGGGGGCCAACAUUUUGCACGGUCAUGAUAGUAAGGUGUGUCAAAGGGUAGCCUGUCAGAUAUGUCGGCAACAACAUCGAUACCAAGGGCGAGGGACGAAGAGAACCAUUUUCCUGCUCGUUGAACAAGGCGGGCCAAUAGGCAAAGUUCUCGUCCAUCGGUGGUUACCGGAAUGUUUUCAACAGUAGUAACAGGGUCUUGCUGACAGAGUUGUACACCAAGGGGUUUACAUAAGCAGGAGAACAUUACUGCUUAGAUCAUAUAGAUCACAAGAAAGGUUAAACAAAACAAUGGAAAGGAAAAGGUGAUCAUCAGAUCAAAUAGAACAAUGGAAUGGAAAAUAUGUUUAUACACCUAUUUUAGGGGUAUAUCCUUCCCAAGGACAAGCAGAACAUGAUAACCAUGACAUGAUAUUAAGUAGAAAAGCCUCUAGGUGAGGGGAGAGAAAUUUUCAUGACAUUAUCCAUACAGCGGUGUUUGGAUAAUUGAGCAAGAAACGUUUAGCAUUGGGCUUCAAAUGUUCUUGUUGAAACAUCGGAGUAACAUAGACAUGCUUCGAGAUAGAAUUGACAUGGUCUUCAGGUGAAGAUCAAACUUUGGAAACACGAAGGAUCCAUCAGGAAUAACUUGUAGAAUAAGUCUUACAAUUUCCCCAUGGAUGAACGGAUAACCUUGCUGAAAAGGAAUCUAUAGUGAUUGGUCCUCCAGCCGAGGGGGGGGGUGCUAGGCAUGACAUCAUGUUACCGGGUCAUCAAAGGAUCAACAUCAUAACUCUUGGAAAAUGUCCCAACCAUCAUAUCUGACCGAGAUUCAGAUCCGAUUGGUGUCAGGAUACCUCAGACUCAGGAUGUCCGAGAAGAAAAGCUGCGGCACAUAUCGACGAAAUGACAUUGUAAGAUUCUCGGGAAAUGAACUAUGGGAGCGGGUUCCUGAAACAAUAGUUCAUCAUUAAACCAAGGAGAGGACAAGGAGGUGUCUGGUGAACUCAACGGCAAUUCACCGAUAUUCCCAAAAGAUGGAUUUCCACCAUUAGGUGAACAAGGAGAUAACAUUUGUCAGAUCAAAUGAUAUAAGGAAGUAUGCUCGAGGAAAACAUACACAAUUAAACAUUGGUUGAAAGGUGCGCCCGAAAUGUGGAUUGGGUUGCACGACCAAUGUCAGAAUGGUGAUUCAAUUAGCGAAGGACUUAGAAUGAACUAUCGAUCAUUAACUUCAAAGCAAUAGGGUUGCUAGAAGUGCAUAAUCCAAACAACACCGUUCACUUGUGGGUACCCCGGUUGGAAUCAACACGAGGACCAAGAAAGAAUGGUGAUGGUGAGAAGUAUCAUUAUAGUAAGAAUUCUUAAGAGGUGGAGCAAUCCUCACAACAUUCUUAACAUCAAAGAUGGUAAUACUCCGCGGUAGAAUAUAACAUAAGUUGGAUAGCAAGGAACUCAAGGUACAACACAAUACAGGAACAAGUUUUGUGUUGGAGGGAAUGCAAUAAUGUUGUCGCUGAUAACACCAAUCAUCGAGGGCAAGGAUGGUAUUUCUCAUCAUGAUUUCAAUAGAUCUCUUGGAAGAGCUCAGAAUGUUGAUGAUAUUCACGACACAUUUGUCGCGAGAGUUCAUGAAGAUGUAAUCGAUCGGUGAUGACAUCAAGUCAAAGUAAUGAUAAAGUGAAAGGUUAUUGGAACCAAGGGUACGACACAAACUCGAAACCAAGUUUGUUGUUUAAGGUGAAAGGGUAUGACGAGGAAAAUCGACGUAAGCUUAGCUAUCGUCGCAAAUUGUGCCCCGAGAAGAAGGACCGGGUAGCACAGUUAAAAUCAUCACUACAAUGAUAUAGCCAAACAGGCUAGGAAUGGCAUGAUCGGGUACAAACUCGUACUUAUAGAAGCUUACUGAAGAGUUGUUGAACCGUAGUGCGGACUCGGUUCAGUUAUCGGUGUCUUUGAGUGUUCAAUAACUCAGAGCCCGCGAAAAAUUGGAAUCAGUGGGAAGGUAGCACUUGAUGAAGAACUCAUAAAAAGUUAUGCAGUUCCAUGAUAAUCUCGAGAUACCAGGGGGGUAAUACUCGACACAAGAUCAAAGUAAAUGUUGGACUGGUGUAUUGAUCCAUAGAAGACAAUUAUUUUGACUUGUCCGAGAAAGGAGAACAAAGAAGAACAAUCAUGGUCGGAACCACGGUUGCAAAAGGCCAGAUCCUAGAUAUAAGAUGAACUUAUACCAAAGGAAUAAUUUAUUUAAGAGAAGCUUUAAUGAUAAGAUCUACAUCGUGUCCAUGGGCAUGAACACAAGUUCAAGGUCGACUCCCACUUCUCCAAAGCAUAACCUUACAUUCACUUCUCGUUUCGAUAAUGGCAUUAGUGUUGAAAGUUAUACCUGGUGAAAUACCAGAUGAGUAUGACCCAUGAAAACUUCCGAGUUCACACAUAGUAAGGAAGGCAUAGGUUCAACCCAUCAGGGCGUCUUACGAACAUAUACCACAAACUUCGGGGUAAAUAAUACAAGCUCGAAAGUAGAGCAUUGUUCAAAAGCAGAUGAUACAAUUUACCAAGGCAUUAUAUACCCAUGGAAAGGCUCUCACGGUUAUUCAAUAUGAAGGACACUGUCGGAUAAAAUCCAACAAAGGAACCGAUGGUCCACAAGGGAUCUGAGGUGAGCACCGGUACUCAACCAGAGGAAGAAGAAUGCACGGGCAUCAUAUUAUAGAACAUCGGAAUGAUUCGAUGCUUAGAUAAUAAAGGAAUUUCGAUUUCCAAAACAAAGGAUCGGAAGCAGUCGCUCUGAUCAAGGAUGGAUAAGUUGGAUAUACCAGAGGCACAAUUGACGACAAAUAGUUUGGUCGAGAACCAGCUCAUGUUCAAAAAUGAUGUCUGAGCCGGAAGGAUAAUUUAGAAGGGUUGAUAGAUGAUUGUGUGCAUUCGCACACAUGCUGAAUCAAUAGGAUCAAAAUGACGAUGCCUAAGGAUACUAACGAAUAUUGCCAGACAUAUGGAAAGCAUCCAUAAUGCAAGCAGACAAGUAUUGCAGAGCAAUAAGCUAUUAAGGAUUUUUGGAGGAUCAAAUAGUAUUUCGAAGACCAUUGUGAAACACAUGAACAACUGGGGGAUGAGCGGAUACUCGAUAAGUGCGAGAAUUAUCCAUAGGGGUAUUCAGGUGACAAGGAACAGCAAGGCGAUAAGCUCAAAGGAUUAUCGAGACAACGACGAGUGUUUCGAGGUAUCUGGUAAUAACAAGACCAACUGGGGAUGAAUGUAAGAAUAACAACUGCAAGUAGUUAUCCAUAAGGGUUGACGGUGGAAGGGUAAUUGCAAAUGCGAUGAACAUAAGUUCUCGGGUUAACAACGGAGAGUAUCUUCAGGGUCUUCACGUGCCGCAGACGAUCAUCAUUAAUAAGGGGCUCUCCGGGUGAAAGUGAUAACGAGAUCCUAAUGUUAGAUUUAGCAAAAAUCAUUUAACCCGAAUAGAAGAGAAAUAAGAGUCCCAGAGUAUAGGUCGAGGAAUAAAAGAUCCUAAUACCACCCAAUGGCGACGUGGGCCCGUAAGGCACACAGCCAAGUUAGUAAAAGUUUUGCCAUGGCUAGACUCAACUUCGGCCGAGGAGUUGGAAAGGGGAUUCCUACAGGUAGUCGGCUCUGAUACCAACUUGUGACGCCCCCGAUUCAAUCGUACACUAAUCAUGCACGCAAAUGUGUACGAUCAAGAUCAGGGACUCACGGGAAGAUAUCACAACACAACUCUAAAACAUAAAUAAGUCAUACAAGCAUCAUAAUACAAGCCAGGGGCCGUGAGGGCUCGAAUACAAGUGCUCGAUCAUAGACGAGUCAGCGGAAGCAACAAUAUCUGAGUACACACAUAAGUUAAACAAGUUGCCAUAAGAUGGCUAGCACAAACUGGGAUACAGAUCGAAAGAGGCGCAGGCCUCCUGCCUGGGACCCUCCUAACUACUCUUGGUCGUCGUCAACGGGCUGCACGUAGUAGUAGGCACCUCCAGUGUAGUAGUCGUCGUCGACGGUGGCGUCUGGCUCCAGGGCUCCAGCAUCUGGUUGUGACAACCAGGAAGGAAGGAAAGGGGAAAAAGGGGGGAGAAAGCAACCGUGAGUACUCAUCCAAAGUACUCGCAAGCAAGGAGCUACACUACAUAUGCAUGGGUAUAUGUGUAAAGAGGCCAUAUCAGUGGACUGAACUGCAGAAUGCCAGAAUAAGAGGGGGAUAGCUAAUCCUGUCGAAGACUACGCUUCUGGCAGCCUCCGUCUUGCAGCAUGUAGAAGAGAGUAGAUUGAAGUCCUCCAAGUAGCAUCUCCAAGUAGCAUAUCCAGGUAGCAUCUCCAAGCGCAUCUCCAGUCGCAUCGCAUAGCAUAAUCCUACCCGGCGAUCCUCUCCUCGUCGCCCUGCGGAAAAGCGAUCACCGGGUUGUCUGUGGAACUUGGAAGGGUGUGUUUUAUUAAGUAUCCGGUUCUAGUUGUCAUAAGGUCAAGGUACAACUCCAAGUCGUCCUGUUACCGAAGAUCACGGCUAUUCGAAUAGAUUAAACUUCCCUGCAGGGGUGCACCACAUAGCCCAACACGCUCGAUCCCAUUUGGCCGGACACACUUUCCUGGGUCAUGCCCGGCCUCGGAAGAUCAACACGUCGCAGCCCCACCUAGGCAAAACAGAGAGGCCAGCACGCCGGUCUAAACCUAAGCGCACAGGGGUCUGGGCCCAUCGCCCAUAGCACACCUGCACGUUGCGUACGCGGCCGGUGAGCAGACCUAGCAACCUCCAUUACAAAGGAAGUUGCGUUAACGCAGUCCAACCCGGCGCGCGCCGCUCCGUCGCUGACGUCUGAAGUGCUUCGGCUGAUACCACGACGUCGGGAUACCCAUAACUACUCCCACGUAGAUGGUUAGUGCGUAUAGGCUCGUAGCCAGACUCAGAUCAAAUACCAAGAUCUCGUUAAGCGUGUUAAGUAUCCGCGAACGCCGAACAGGGCCAGGCCCACCUGUCUCCUAGGUGGUCUCAACCUGCCCUGCCGCUCCGCCACAAAGUAACAGUCGGGGGCCGUCGGGAACCCAGGCCCACCUCUACCGGGAUGGAGCCACCUGCCCCUUCAGCCCCCAACUCCGAACAGCAUCACAGGUAAUGUAAUAGUGUAUAGUAUAUAGUAUAUGCCCGUGAUCACCUCCCGAAGUGAUCACAGCCCAGUAGUAUAGCAUGGCAGACGGACAAGAGUGUAGGGCCACUGAUGGAACACUAGCAUCCUAUACUAAGCAUUUAGGAUUGCGGGUAAGGUAUCAAUGACUGUAGCAACAAUGACAGGCUAUGCAUCAGAAUAGGAUUAACGGAAAGCAGUAACAUGCUACACUACUCUAAUGCAAGCAGUAUAGAGAAGAGUAGGCGAUAUCUGGUGAUCAAAGGGGGGGCUUGCCUGGUUGCUCUGGCAAGAGAGAGGGGUCGUCAACUCCGUAGUCGAACUGGUCAGCAGCAGCGUCGGUCUCGUAGUCUACCGGAGAGAAGAGGGGGAAGAAAUAAUGAAUACAGAGCAAACAAAGCACCACAAAAUAUAUCAAGGCAAUACGCGGUGUUCGGUGUGCCCUAACGCGGUAGUAGGUGAUACCGGUGAAGGGGGGAAAACCCCCGGGAAAGUAUUCCCGGUGUUUCGUGUUUUCGGGCAGAGGAGCCGGAGGGGGAAAGUUGCGGGUUCGAUAGGUUAGGGGUGUGUGGCGGACGAACGGACUGCGUAUCCGGAUUCGUCUCGUCGUUCUGAGCAACUUUCAUGUUGAAAAUAUUUUAAUCCGAGUUACGGAUUAAAAGAUAUGAUUUUCUAAAGAUUUAUUAAUUUCUGGAAUUUAAUUAAUUAUUUAAUCCAACAUUAUCCAGAAUAGUAAAUGAUGACGUCAGCAUGACAUCAGAGUGAUGUCAGCAGUCAACGUUGACCAUUGACCUGGUCAACCUGACGUGUGGGUCCCUCUGUCAUUGACUAAGAUUAACUAAAACAGAUUAAUUAGUUUAAUUAGUGAUUAGGUUAAUCUAAUCAGGAUUAAUUAACUUAAUUAAUUACUUAAUUAAUUAAUUAAUAUUUUACUUAUUUUAAUUAUUAUUUAUUUAUUUAUUUAAUAUUUUUUAAUUCCUUUUUUUUACGUUCUAGGGGACGGCCCCACAUGUCAUAGGCCAGGGGCCAUAGCGGGUGUGGGCUAACGGGUUAACGGGCGAGCCCGGAUGGGCAACCGAGCGGGCGUUGUGGUCAGCGAGAGAAGGGGCGGGCGCGCGGCGCGACGCCGGCGAACGCAGAGGCGGGGUUGUGGUGUGAGGGUCGGGCGCGGUGAACGGGACAGCACGGGAGCCGGGUUGGCACGGCGCAGCGGCUCCGACGAGCGGUGGCGAGGGGACGAGGUCCAACAGGGCAACAGCAGAAGCAGUUGCAGCAGCUAGGAGCAGGGGGGCACGGCGGGGCGCAGUGUCCGCGGGCGUGGCCGGACCCCAUCGAGGGCGCGGUGGCCGCGAUGAUAGAGAGGAAAGGGGGGCGAGGAAGUAGGGAAGGCGAAGGCCGGGGGCCUCACCAACGUUGCAGGGAAGAGGCAGCGAGGCCUGGGGUAGACCGUCGACGAGGAGAUGACGAGGUCCGGUGGGAAGGUCCGGCGACGGCGAGGCCUUCAGGCGGCGAGGGAGGAGCCUCUGCGCGGCGGUGGCGCGAGGACGCCGAUAGGCGGGGGAUCCCCCGGCGCGGGCGCGGCAGCGGUGGUGGGGCUCCGGCGCGGCAGGGGAUGGCGAUGGGGCGCAGGUGCGACGGCGGCGGGGCUGGGCGACGGGCGGCAUCGGGGUCGGGCCCCUCCCCGAUCCAGAUGGGAUCGAGAGGAGAGGGGGGAGAGGGAGAGGCGAGCGAGUGGGGGAGUGGGGGUAUCGGUGGGUUAGGGUUUGGCCAGGGGGGGGGGCUCGUAGGCGCGGGUGGGCCGGCUUGGUUGGCCCGAUGGCCAGCUGGGCCGAGGCCUAGUGGGGGGGAGGGGCAGGCUUUUGUUUUUUUGUUAGGUUCUGCUUUUCUUUUUAUUUAAUUGUUUUGUUGCUUCCAUCCACUAUAAAAUAUCUAGGCAUUUUAUAAAAAUGUGUUUAUUGCACCAUAUUUACAUAUGCAAAUUAUGGCACCGUCCGAACAUUUUUGUUUAAUAUUUUGAAAGCUUUUGUCGUUUGACUUAGUUAGGAUUUAAAUUUGAAUCGGUUUCGAAUUAACCCGAGAUUAACUACAGUGACAGAGGUGACGUGUCACCAUUAACGUGAAAUUACUGUAGCAUGAUUAUCCGGGCGUCACAACUAGACAACAAGUUGAGUGAGGUGGGGUGUGCAAGGGUUCAAGUCACAUUGCUCGAAUCAAUGAUAUUUAGCUCAUGCCUUAACUCGCGAAAUCUUGCUUCAUCCAAAGGCUUCGUGAAAAUAUCUGCAAGGUUACCAUGAGUGUUAACAUAGUUGAGCUCGAUCUCCCCUCGCCUAAUGUGAUCCCGGAUGAAGUGAUACCUAAUCUCAAUGUGCUUUGUCUUGAAGUGUUGCACCGGGUUGAGAGAAAUCUUGAUGGCACUUUCAUUGUCACACCAAAGAGGCACUUUGUCACAAGUGACACCAUAAUCCUUUAAAGUUUGCCUCAUCCAUAAAAGUUGUGCACAACAACUACCGGCGGCCACAUAUUCCGCUUCCGUGGACGAGAGAGAUACACAACUUUGCUUCUUGGAAGACCAACUCACCAAAGAGCAACCAAGAAAUUGGCACCCUCCAGAAGUGGACUUCCUAUCCACUUUGUUUCCCGCCCAAUCCGAGUCCGAAUAACCUACAAGCUUAAAGUUUGCUCCUCUUGGGUACCAAAGGCCAAAGUUUGGGGUAUGAGCCAAAUAUCGAAAGAUUCGCUUGACCGCCACAAAGUGACUUUCCUUAGGUGCGGCUUGAAACCGUGCACAAAUUCCCACACUCAACAUGAUUCUGGUCUAGAUGCACAAAGGUAAAGCAAGGAGCCAAUCAUGGAACGAUAUACCUUUUGAUCCACCACUUUACCAUUGGGAUCAAUGUCAAGUUGGCACUUGGUGGGCAUGGGAGUGGAAGCCGGCUUGACAUCACUUAGCUUGAAUCUCUUGAGCAUGUCUUGAGUGUAUUUGGAUUGGUUGAUGAAGGUUCCUUCUCUUCUUUGCUUCACUUCGAACCCGAGAAAGAACUUCAACUCUCCCAUGGAAGACAUCUCGAACUUUGAAGUCAUGAGAGCGGCAAAUUCCUCAUUGAAAGCUUUGUUAGGGGAACCAAAGAUAAUAUCAUCAACAUAUAAUUGGCACACAAACAACUCCCCUUUGACCUUCUUAGUAAAAAGAGUGGGGUCGAUUAGCCCAACUUCAAAACCACAGUCUUGUAACAACUCGGUAAGGUGGUCAUACCACGCACGUGGGGCUUGUUUAAGGCCAUAGAGUGCCUUAUCGAGUUGAUACACAUGAUCGGGAAAGUAGGGAUCCUCGAACCCAGGGGGUUGCUUGACAUAAACCAAUUAAUUAAUAGGACCAUUAAGAAAAGCACUCUUCACAUCCAUUUGUUGUAACUUAAAGUUAUGAUGAGAAGCAUAUGCAAUCAACAUGCGAAUGGAUUCAAGAUGAGCAAUGGGAGCAAAGGUUUCACCGUAGUCGAUACCCUCGACUUGGGAGUAGCCUUGUGUGAAGGAAAUAUGCCCUAGAGGCAAUAAUAAAGUUAUUAUUUAUUUCCUUAUUUCAUGAUAAAUGUUUAUUAUUCAUGCUAGAAUUGUAUUAACCGGAAACAUAAUACAUGUGUGAAUACAUAGACAAACAGAGUGUCACUAGUAUGCCUCUACUUGACUAGCUCAUUGAAUCAAAGAUGGUUAAGUUUCCUAGCCAUAGACAUGAGUUGUCAUUUGAUUAACAGGGUCACAUCAUUAGAGAAUGAUGUGAUUGAUUUGACCCAUUCCGUUAGCAUAGCACUUGAUCGUUUAGUUUGUUGCUAUUGAUUUCUUCAUAACUUAUACAUGUUCCUAUGACUAUGAGAUUAUGCAACUCCUGUUUACCGGAGGAACACUUUGUGUGCUACCAAGCGUCACAACAUAACUGGGUGAUUAUAAAGGUGCUCUACAGGUGUCUCCGAAGGUACUUGUUGGGUUGGCGUAUUUCGAGAUUAGGAUUUGUCACUCCGAUUGUCGGAGAGGUAUCUCUGGGCCCUCUCGGUAAUGCACAUCACUUAAGCCUUGCAAGCAUUGCAACUAAUAAGUUAGUUGCGGGAUGAUGUAUUACGAAACGAGUAAAAGAGACUUGCCGGUAACGAGAUUGAACUAGGUAUUGAGAUACCGACGAUCGAAUCUCGGACAAGUAACAUGCCGAUGACAAAGGGAUCAACGUAUGUUGUUAUGUAGUCUGACCGAUAAAGAUCUUCGUAGAAUAUGUGGGAGCCAAUAUGAGCAUCCAGGUUCCGCUAUUGGUUAUUGACCGGAGACGUGUCCCUGUCAUGUCUACAUAGUUCUCGAACCCAUAGGGUCCGCAAGCUUAAGGUUUCGAUGACAGUUAUAUUAUGAGUUUAUGAGUUUUGAUGUACCGAAGGAGUUCGGAGUCCCGGAUGAGAUCGGGGACAUGACGAGGAGUCUCUAAAUGGUCGAGACGUACAGAUCGAUAUAUUGGACGACUAUAUUCGGACAUCAGAAAGGUUCCGAGUGAUUCGGAUAUUUUUCGGAGUACCGGAGAGUUACGGGAAAUCACAGGGGAGUAUAUGGCCUUAUUGGGCCAUACGGGAAUAGAGGAGAGAGGCCAAAAGGAAGGAGGCACGCGCCCCCCCUCUGGUCCGAAUUGGACAAGGGGUGCAGCCCACUUUUCCUUGUUUCUCUCCCCCUCUUUCCUUCUCUCCUACUCCAACAAGGGAAGGAGUCCUACUCCCGGUGGGAGUAGGACUCCCCCCUUGGCGCGCCCUCCUCCUAGGCCGGCCGCCUCCCUCCCUUGCUCCUUUAUAUACGGGGGCAGGGGGCACCCCAGAUACACAACAAUUGAUCAUUGAUCUCUUAGCCGUAUGCGGUGCCCCCCUCCACCAUAGUCCUCAAUAAUAUUGUAGUGGUGCUUAGGCGAAGCCCUGCGGCAGUAGAACAUCAAGAUCGUCACCACACCGUCGUGCUGACGGAACUCUUCCCCGACAUUCUGCUGGAUCGGAGUCCGGGGAUCGUCAUCGAGCUGAACGUGUGCUAGAACUCGGAGGUGUCGUAGUUUCGGUGCUUGAUCGGUCAGGCCGUGAAGACGUAUGGCUACAUCAACCGCGUUGUGCUAACGCUUCCGCUUUCGGUCUACGAGGGUACAUAGACAACAAUCUCCCCUCUUGUUGCUAUGCAUCACCAUGAUCUUGCGUGUGCGUAGGAUUUUUUUUGAAAUUACUAUGUUCCCCAACAGUGGCAUCCGAGCCUAGGUUUUAUGCGUUGAUGUUGUGCACGAGUAGAACACAAGUGAGUUGUGGGCGAUAUAAGUCAUACUGCUUACCAGCAUGUCAUACUUUGGUUCGGCGGUAUUGUUGGAUGAAGCGGCCCGGACCGACAUUACGCGUACGCUUACGCGAGACUGAUUCUACCGACGUGCUUUGCACACAGGUGGCUGGCGGGUGUCAGUUUCUCCAACUUUAGUUGAACCGAGUGUGGCUACGCCCAGUCCUUGCGAAGGUUAAAACAGCACCAGCUUGACAAACUAUCGUUGUGGUUUUGAUGCGUGGGUAAGAACGUUUCUUGCUAAGCCCGUAGCAGCCACGUAAAACUUGCAACAACAAAGUAGAGGACGUCUAACUUGUUUUUGCAGGGCAUGUUGUGAUAUGGUCAAGACAUGAUGCUAAAUUUUAUUGUAUGAGAUGAUCAUGUUUUGUAACCGAGUUAUCGGCAACUGGCAGGAGCCAUAUGGUUGUCGCUUUAUUGUAUGCAAUGCAAUUGCGCUGUAAUGCUUUACUUUAUCACUAAGCGGUAGCGAUAGUCGUGGAAGCAUAAGAUUGGCGAGACGACAAUGAUGCUACGAUGGAGAUCAAGGUGUCGCGCCGGUGACGAUGGUGAUCAUGACGGUGCUUCGGAGAUGGAGAUCACAAGAACAAUAUGAUGAUGGCCAUAUCAUAUCACUUAUAUUGAUUGCAUGUGAUGUUUAUAUUUUAUGCAUCUUAUCUUGCUUUGAUUGACGGUAGCAUUAUAAGAUGAUCUCUCACUAAAUUUCAAGAUAAAAGUGUUCUCCCUGAGUAUGCACCGUUUCCAAAGUUCGUCGUGCCUAGACACCAGGUGAUGAUUGGGUGUGAUAAGCUCUACGUCCAUCUACAACGGGUGCAAGCCAGUUUUGCACCCGCAGAAUACUCAGGUUAAACUUGACGAGCCUAGCAUAUGCAGAUAUGGCCUCGGAACACUGAGACCGAAAGGUCGAGCGUGAAUCAUAUAGUAGAUAUGAUCAACAUAGUGAUGUUCACCAUUGAAAACUACUCCAUUUCACGUGAUGAUCGAUUAUGGUUUAGUUGAUUUGGAUCACGUGAUCACUUAGAAGAUUAGAGGGAUGUCUUUCUAAGUGGGAGUUCUUAAGUAAUAUGAUUAAUUGAACUUUAAUUUAUCAUGAACUUAGUCCUGAUAGUAUUUGCAUAUCUAUGUUGUAGAUCAAUAGCUCGCGUUUAGCUCCCCUGUUUUAUUUUUGAUAUGUUCCUAGAGGAAAAUUAAGUUGAAAGAUGUUAGUAGCAAUGAUGCGGAUUGGAUCCGUCAUCUGAGAAUUAUCCUCAUUGCUGCACAGAAGAAUUAUGUCCUUAAUGCACCGCUAGGUGACAGACCUAUUGCAGGAGCAGAUGCAGACAUUAUGAAUGUUUGGCUAGCUCAAUAUGAUGAGUACUUGAUAGUUUAGUGCACCAUGCUUAACGGCUUGGAAUCGGGGCUUCAAAGACAUUUUGAAUGCCAUGGAGCAUAUAAGAUAUUCCAAGAGUUGAAAUUGGUAUUUCAUACUCAUGCCCAUGUCGAGAGGUAUGAGACCUCUGACAGUACUUUGCCUAAAAGAUGGAGGAGAAUAGCUCAAGAAGUUAGCAUGUGCUCAAAUUUUUUGGGUACUACAAUCGCUUGAAUCAAGUGGGAGUUAAUCUUCCACAUAAAGUAGUGACUGACAGAAUUCUCUAGUCACCAUCACCAAGUUAGUAGAACUUCGUGAUUAACUAUAAUAUGCAAGGGAUAACGGAAACGAUUCCCAAGCUCUUCGUGAUGCUGAAAUCGACGAAGGUAGAAAUCAAGAAAAACAUCAAGUGUUGAUGGUAAACAAAAUCACUAGUUUCAAGUAAAGGGACAAAGGGAAGAAAGGGGAACUUCAAGAAGAACAGUAAGCAAGUUGCUGCUCAAGUGAAAAAACCCAAGUCUGGACCUAAGCCUGAAACUGAGUGCUUCUACUGCAAAGGGACUGGUCACUAGAAGCGGAACUACCCCAAGUAAUUGGCGGAUAAGAAGGAUCGCAAAGUGAACAAAGGUAUAUUUGAUAUACAUAUUAUUGAUGUGUAUAUUACUAGUGUUCGUAGCAACCCCUCAGUAUUUGAUACUGGUUCAGUUGCUAAGAGUAGUAACUCGAAACGGGAGUUGCAGAAUGAACAGAGACUAGUUAAGGGUGAAGUGACGAUGUGUGUUGGAAGUAGUUCCAAGAUUGAUAUGAUCAUCAUCGCACACUCCCUAUACUUUCGGGAUUAGUGUUGAACCUAAAUAAGUGUUAUUUGGUGUUUGCGUUGAGCAUGAAUAUGAUUUGAUCAUGUUUAUUGCAAUACGGUUAUUCAUGUAAGUUAGAGAAUAAUUGUUGUUCUGUUUACAUGAAUAAAACCUUCUAUGGUCACACACCCAAUGAAAAUGGUUUGUUGGAUCUCGAUCGUGGUGAUACACAUUUUUAUAAUAUUGAAGCCAAAAGAUGCAAAGUUAAUAAUGAUAGUGCAACUUAUUUGUGGCACUACCGGUUAGGUUAUAUUGGUGUAAAGCGCGUGAAGAAAAUCCAUGCUGAUGGGCUUUUGGAAUCACUUGAUUAUGAAUCAGUUGAUGCUUGCGAACCAUGCCUCAUGGGCAAGAUGACUAAGACUCCGUUCUCCAAAACAAUGGACCGAGCAACAGAUUUGUUGGAAAUCAUACAUACUGAUGUAUGUGGUCCGAUGAAUAUUGAGGCUCGCAGCAGGUAUCAUUAUUUUCUGAUCUUCACAAAUGAUUUGAGCAGAUAUGAGUAUAUAUACUUGAUGAAACACAAAUGUGAAACAUUUGAAAAGUUCAAAGAAUUUCAGAGUGAAGUGGAGAAUCAUCGUAACAAAAAUAAAAGUAUCUACGAUAUAUCGCAGAAGUAAAAUAUUUGAGUUACGAGUUUGGCCUUCAGUUAAAACAAUGUGAAAAAGUUUCACUACUCACGCCACCUGGAACACCAUUGCAGUGUAAUGGUGUGUCCGAACAUCGUAACCGUACUUUAUUAGAUAUGGUGCGAUCUAUGAUGUCUCUUACUGAUUUACCACUAUCGUUUUGGGGUUGUGCAUUAGAGACAGCUACAUUCACAUUAAAUAGGGCACCAUCUAAAUCCAUUGAGACGACACCGUAUGAACUAUGGUUUGGCAAGAAACCUAAGUUGUCGUUUCUUAAAGUUUGAGGUUGCAAUGCUUAUGUGAAAAAGUUUCAACCUGAUAAGCUCAAACCCAAAUCGGAGUAGUGCAUCUUCAUAGGAUACCCAAUAGAAAAUGUUGGGUAUACCUUCUAUCACAGAUCCGAAGGCAAGAUAUUCAUUGCUGAGAAUGGAUCCUUUCUAGAGAAGGAGUUUCUCUUGAAAGAAGUGAGUGGGAGGAAAGUAGAACUUGAUGAGGUAACUGUACCUGCUCCCUUAUUGGAAAGUAGUUCAUCAUAGAAAUCUGUUCUUGUGACUACUACACCAAUUAGUGAGGAAGCUAAUGAUGAUGAUCAUGUAACUUCAGAUCAAGUUACUACCGAACCUCGUAGGUAAACCAGAGUGAUAUCCGCACCAGAGUGGUAUGGUAAUCCUAUUCUAGAGGUCAUGUUACUUGACCAUGACGAGCCUACGAACUAUGAGGAAGCGAUGAUGAGCCCAGAUUCCGUGAAAUGGCUUGAGGCCAUGAAAUCUGAGAUGAGAUCCAUGUAUAAGAACAAAGUAUGGACUUUGAUUGACUUGCCCAUAGAUCGGCGAGCCAUUGAGAUUAACUGGAUCUUCAAGAGGAAUACGGACGCUGAUAGUAGUGUUACUAUCUACAAAGCUAGAAUUUUCGCAAAAAGGUUUUCGACAAGUUCAAGGUGUUGACUACGAUGAGAGUUUCUCACUCGUAUCUAUGCUUAAGUCUGUUUGAAUCAUGUUAGCAAUUGCCGCAUUUUAUGAAAUCUGGCAAAUGGAUAAACAAAACUGUGUUCCUUAAUGGAUUUAUUAAAGAAGAGUUGUAUAUGAUGCCACCAGAAGGUUUUGUCAAUCCUAAAGGUACUAACGAAAUAUGCAAGCUCCAGCGAUCCAUCUAUGGACUGGUGGAAGCAUCUCGGAGUUGGAAUAUGCGCUUUGAUAAGUUGAUCAAAUCAUAUAGUUUUAUACAGACUUGCGGUGAAGCUUGUAUUUACAAGAAAGUGAGUGGGAGCACUACAGCAUUUCUGAUAAGUAUAUGUAUGACAUAUUGUUGAUCGGAGAUGAUGUAUAAUUAUUCUGCAAAGCAUAAAGGAAUGUUUGAAAGGAGUUUUUUCAAAGAAAGACCUCGGUGAAGCUGCUUACAUAUUGAGCAUCAAGAUCUAUAGAGAUAGAUCAAGACGCUUAAUAAGUUUUUCAAUGAGUACAUACCUUGAUAAGAUUUUGAAGUAGUUCAAAAUGGAACAGUCAAAGAAGGAGUUCUUGCCUGUGUUACAAGGUGUGAAGUUGAGUAAGACUCAAAACCCGACCACGGCAGAAGAUAGAGAGAGAAUGAAAGUCAUUCCCUAUGCCUCAGCCAUAGGUUCUAUAAAGUAUGCCAUGUUGUGUACCAGAACUAUUGUAUACCCUGCCCUGAGUUUGGCAAAGGGAGUACAAUAGUGGUCUACGAGUAGAUCACUGGACAUUGGUCAAAAUUAUCCUUAGUGGAAUAAGGAUAUGUUUCUCGAUUAUGGAGGUGACAAAAGGUUCAUCGUAAAAGGUUACGGCGAUGCAAGUUUUGACACUGAUCCAGAUGACUCAAAGUCUCAAUCUGGAUACAUAUUGAAAGUGGGAGCAAUUAGCUAGAGUAGCUUAGUGCAGAGCAUUAUUGACAUAGAAAUUUGCAAAAUACUUACAGAUCUGAAUGUGGCAGACCCGUUGACUAAACUUCUCUCACAAGCAAAACAUGAUCACACCUUAGUACUCUUUGGGCGUUAAUCACAUAGUGAUGUGAACUAGAUUAUUGAAUAUAGUAAACCCUUUGGGUGUUGGUCACAUGACGAUGUGAACUAUGGGUGUUAAUCACAUGGUGAUGUGAACUAUUGAUGUUAAAUCACAUGGCGAUGUGAACUAGAUUAUUGACUCUAGUGCAAGUGGGAGACUGAAGGAAAUAUGCCCUAGAGGCAAUAAUAAAGUUAUUAUUUAUUUCCUUAUUUCAUGAUAAAUGUUUAUUAUUCAUGCUAGAAUUGUAUUAACCGGAAACAUAAUACAUGUGUGAAUACAUAGACAAACAGAGUGUCACUAGUAUGCCUCUACUUGACUAGCUCGUUGAAUCAAAGAUGGUUAAGUUUCCUAGCCAUAGACAUGAGUUAUCAUUUGAUUAACAGUGUCACACCAUUAGAGAAUGAUGUGAUUGAUUUGACCCAUUCCGUUAGCAUAGCACUUGAUCGUUUAGUUUGUUGCUAUUGCUUUCUUCAUAACUUAUACAUGUUCCUAUGACUAUGAGAUUAUGCAACUCCCGUUUACUGGAGGAACACUUUGUGUGAUACCAAACGUCACAACGUAAAUAGGUGAUUAUAAAGGUGCUCUACAGGUGUCUCCGAAGGUACUUGUUGGGUUGGCGUAUUUCGAGAUUAGGAUUUGUCACUCCGAUUGUCGGAGAGGUAUCUCUGGGCCCUCUCGGUAAUGCACAUCACUUAAGCCUUACAAGCAUUGCAACUAAUAAGUUAGUUGCGGGAUGAUGUAUUACGGAACGAGUAAAAGAGACUUACCGGUAACGAGAUUGAACUAGAGUAUUGAGAUACCGACGAUCGAAUCUCGGGCAAGUAACAUACCGAUGACAAAGGGAACAACGUAUGUUGUUAUGCGGUCUGACCAAUAAAGAUCUUCGUAGAAUAUGUGGGAGCCAAUAUGAGCAUCCAGGUUCCGCUAUUGGUUAUUGACCGGAGACGUGUCCCUGUCAUGUCUACAUAGUUCUCGAACCCAUAGGGUCCGCACGCUUAAGGUUUCGAUGACAGUUAUAUUAUGAGUUUAUGAGUUUUGAUGUAUCGAAGGAGUUUGGAGUCCCGGAUGAGAUCGGGGACAUGACGAGGAGUCCCGAAAUGGUCGAGACGUACCGAUCGAUAUAUUGGACGACUAUAUUCGGACAUCAGAAAGGUUCCGAGUGAUUCGGGUAUUUUUCGGAGUACCGGAGAGUUACGGGAAUUCGCCGUGUAUAUGGGCCUUAUUGGGCCAUACGGGAAUAGAGGAGAGAGGCCAAAAGGAAGGAGCCGCGUGCCCCCCCUCUGGUCCAAUUGGACAAGGGGUGCAGCCCACUUUUCCUUGUUCCUCUCCCCCUCUUUCCUUCUCUCCUACUCCAACAAGGGAAGGAGGAGUUCUACUCCCGGUGGGAGUAGGACACCCCCGUUGGCGCGCCCUCCUCCUAGGUCGGCCGCCUCCCUCCCUUGCUCCUUUAUAUACGGGGGCAGGGGGCAUCCCAGAUACACAACAGUUGAUCAUUGAUCUCUUAGCCGUGUGCGGUGCCCCCCUCCACCAUAGUCCUCGAUAAUAUUGUAGUGGUGCUUAGGCGAAGCCCUGUGGCAGUAGAACAUCAAGAUCGUCACCACACCGUUGUGCUGACGGAACUCUUCCCCGAUAUUCUGCUGGAUCAGAGUCCGGGGAUCGUCAUCGAGCUGAACAUGUGCUAGAACUCGAAGGUGUUGUAGUUUCGGUGCUUGAUCGGUCGGGCCGUGAAGACGUACGACUACAUCAACCGCGUUGUGCUAAUGCUUCCGCUUUCGGUCUACGAGGGUACGUAGACAACACUCUCCCCUCUCGUUGCUAUGCAUCACCAUGAUCUUGCGUGUGCGUAGGAUUUUUUUUGAAAUUACUACGUUCCCCAACAUUGUGCUACCAAACGAGCCUUGUUGCGAAUGAUAAUCCCAUGAGUAUCUUGCUUGUUCUUGAAUAUCCACUUGGUUCCAAUGACAUUGUGGUUCACCGUUGGCCUUGGCACCAAUCUCCACACUUUGUUACGCUCGAAGUUGUUGAGUUCUUCAUGCAUGGCAUUGAGCCAAUCCGGAUCUUCGAGCGCCUCAUAGACCUUUUGGGGUUCAACACAAGAGACAAACACGUGAUGUUCACAAUAGUUUGCUAAUUGUCUACGAGUGCUUACCACCUUUCUUAAGCUUCCAAGCACAUUCGUCAUGGGAUGAUCCUUGGUGGAGAGCUUGGAAGCAACCUUGGCGGCACGACGCUCCAAUUCCUCCUUGGGGGUGAGAUGAGGAGUGGUCACUUGAUCAUCUUGAGCGUCGUCUUGAGCUUGUUCUUGAUCUCAUGGAAGCUCUUGAUCUUGAACUUGCUCGGGAGAGGGAGCUUGACCUUGGGCAUCACUUGAUGUUACAACACCAUCUUGAGAUUGAUCUUGCCCUUGGUCUUGUUCUUGAGGUUGAGGGCCCUCACUUUGUUCUUCGGAAGCAUGUGGGUCUUGGGUUGGUGAAGGUUCCACUUGAGUAGAACAUUGUCCUUCUCCUUUGGUCACAAGGGGUUCCUCAAUGGGUAGGAUAUGACCAAUACCCAUUCUUCUUAUGGCUUGGGGAGGAACUUCAUCACCUACAUCACAAGUACCACUUUGCUCCACUUGGGAGCCAUUAUUCUCAUCAAACUCCACGUUACACAUUUCCUCAAUAAGUCCUGUGGACUUAUUGAGAACACGGUAAGCAUGAGAGUUUGUAGUAUGACCAACAAAUAUGCCCUCAUAAGCUCUUGCCUCAAAUUUAGACAAACAGACACCUUUCUUGAGAAUGAAACACUUACACCCGAACACCCGGAAGUACUUGAGGUUGGGCUUGUUACCGGUGAGUAUCUCAUAUGGAGUCUUGUUCAAGCCUUUGCGGAGGUAUAGCCUAUUAGAUGCAUGGCACACGGUGUUGAUGGCUUCGACCCAAAAGUUGUAGGGAGACUUGAACUCCGCCAUCAUGGUCCUUGUCGCAUCCAUCAACGUCCGGUUCUUCCUCUUCGCUACACCAUUUUGUUGAGGGGUAUAAGGUGUGGAAUAUUGAUGCUUGAUUCCCUCAUCACUCAAAAACUCAUCCAAGGUGUAGUUCUUGAACUCGGAGCCGUUGUCACUUCUUAUUGUCAAGAUCUUUGCAUUGUGUUGUCGUUGAUCUCCAUUUGCAAAGUCGAUGACAGUUUGUUGGGUCUCGCUCUUCCUCUUGAAGAAAUAUACCCAAGUGUAUCUUGAAUAGUCAUCUACAAUCACCAAGCAAUACUUUCUACCCCCAAGACUAUCAAAGGAUGGAGGUCCAAAGAGAUCCAAGUGAAGGAGCUCCAAAGGCCUCUUCGAGUAGAUGAUAGUCGUGGGAGGAUGAGCCUUCUCAUGUAGCUUUCCUUCGAUGCAAGCACUGCAAGCACGAUCUUUGGCAAAACUAACAUUUGUUAGUCCAUGGACAUGGUCCCCCUUGAGAAGAAUUUGCAAAGAUCUCAUAUUGACGUGGGCUAAACGGCGAUGCCAAAGCCAUCCCACGUCAACUUUAGACAUUAGGCAUGUCGCGGUCUUAGUGGGUCGCUUCAAAAAGUUAAUCACAUAGAGACCGUUCUCGACAUGCCCAACAAAGGCUACUUUAAGAGUCUUGCUCCACAAGAGGUCCACGGAAUCAACAUCAAAGAAAGUGGCAAAGCCCAUGAGUGCUAGUUGACGAACAAAAAGUAAAUUGUAUGCAAGGGACUCAACAAGCAUGACCUUCUUGAUCGUAAGAUCAUGAGAAAUGACAACUUUGUUGAGUCCCAAUACCUUAGAAGAUGAGGCAUCACCCCACUCGACAUUGGUGGGCAUGGAUGGAAUCUUUUGCAUGUCCACCACCAAGUCCUUGCUUCCGGUCAUAUGAUUAGUAGCUCCACUAUCGAGCAACCAUGAUCCCCCACCGGAAGCAAACACCUACAAGAGAUCAAUGCUUGGUUUUAGGCACCCAUUUGGUAAUGGGUCCUUUUAUGUUAGUAACAAGGGUCUUAGGAACCCAAAUAGACAAUUCAAUGUACUCAUACGGAGAACCAACAAAUUUGGCUUAAACAUGCCCAUCUCUAGCGCAGCACAACACAUAGGAAGGAUUAAAGUUGCCGGCUUUGUUGGGAAGGGAGCAUUUCCCUUCUUGGCAUCACUACUCCUCAUGAAGUUUUUCUCCUUCUCCUUAGUAGCACCCUCACCCUCCUUCACAAAGGUUUGCUUGAGAGGUGGAGGUCGUCUAGCCUUGUCAUUAGUCUUCUUGUUCUUGGACUUGGGCACGUACCCAAUCCCUUCCUUGCCCACAACUCCCUUUUGGUUGGUCAAGAGGUCGUUGAGGCUCUUCUCGCCUUGUAUGCAAGACACAAGACCUUUCUCAAGUUUCACCUUUAGCUUAGCGUUCUCCUCAACAAGAUGCACAUGCUCACAACACGGGUUAGUAGCAUUUGCAUUAUCAAUUAACAUCAUACGAGGAAAAGUGGCUUUCUCCUUGGUUAGCUUUACUUGAAGUUGAUCAUGAGACUCUUUGAGGCUAGCAUGAGCACCCUUCAAGACCUUGUGAGCCUUGUCAAGUAGAUCAAACUCCUCUUUGAGUCUAGCAAGAUCAACCCCAAGUUUGGCCUUCUCGGAGUUUAGCACACAAGAAAUAACAAGAGCAUGAUCAAAAUCUUUCUUUAACUUAGCAUGAUCAACAUUGUGUGACUCCUCAAGAGCCAAACAAGACCAUGCUCUUCCUCAAGAGCAUUGGAAAGAUCCAAAAUCUCAUCGGCAUAGUCACGACUAUGCCCCUCCAUCUUGGAGAUAGUAUCUUCAUGAGACUCGAUCAUGUCAUUGGCUUCACCAAGUUGUUCCAAGAGAGCAACAAAAUGCUUCUUGGACUUACCCUUGAGUUUACCCAUAAAGGACUCAAACUCAUUUUCCUCCACAUUAGAUCCCUCACAUUCAUCAAUGCAAUCCGUCAAGGAAGGAUUAUUAAUGAUGGUAGUUUUGAUGUUGGGAGUUACCUUGUUGGUGGCUUUAUCCAUGAGGCACUUGGCGGUGAUGUUCUCAUUGGGUGAGUCGAAGAGAGAUAUUUGUGGAGUUUUUGCAAUGGCAAUGGAGGCCAUGGCAACCGACUCACCAUCUUCAUCAUCAUCAUCAUCCUCAUGGUACUCUUCUUGAACCACCAACACCUUGUGAGGGGUUUUCUUGAAGUUGCUCUUGCUGGGGAAAGACUUGGCUUUAUCCUUUUCGAAUGAGCUUGCCACCAUUGUCUUCCCUCUUCUCAUAUGGGCACUCCGCAACAAAAUGACUCACAUUGCCACAAUUGUAGCAAGUCCUUACACAUUGCUUGCUAUUCGUGCCACUUGAGUUGUUCUUGUUGAAGUUUGGCCUUGAGUUCUUCUUGCUCCAAAAUUGCCUUGAAGCAAGUGCCAUGUGUUCAUGAUAGGCAAACUUUGUAUCUUCGGGGUUGCUUUCCUCUUCUUCCUCUUCUUCUUCUUCAAUGCAAACCUUGGCCUUCAAUGCAAGGUUGGGCUUCUUUCCCCUUUGAGAGCGAAGCACCGCAUUGUCGGCGGUCUUGUCCAGGAUGUUCAUAGCCACAAACUCAUCCAACACUUCACUUGAUGUCAAAGUGUGGAAGUCCGGCCUUUGACGAAUGACGAAGGACAUGGCCUUAUGGUAAGGCAUCAUUGCCUUGAGGAAUUUGCACUUGAUCCAAUUGUCAUCCGUGUCCUUGCUCACGUGAUCUCGGAGUGAGACCGUGAGUUUGGUUACUCUCCAAUAAAGCUCACGAGCUUCUUCAUCUUAUUUCAUAGCAAACUCAUCGGCUUCAUCUUGCACUACUUCAUAGUUGGAGCAUUGAAUGCUUGCGCUUCCCUGGUAGAGAGAGACAACACAAAGCCAUGCAUCUUUUUCCAAGGCGAAGGGCCAAAGAUGAGGUAGAUCUUCGGGUGGAAUUGCAUCUUGAAUGAUGAAGAGAGAAUUCUCAUUGAAUUGAUUAUCCGCGGCUUCUCGAGGAGUGAAGUUGCUUGGAUCAUGCGGAUGGAAACCUUCUUCAAUGAUUCUCCAAAGAUUAGUGUUCACACGAUUUAAAUGACACUUAAAGCGAUAAACCCAAGAAUCAAAGUCCUCAUUUUUCACAAUCUUAGGGGGAGGACCGGCAUGAUUCAAAUGAGUGGAAGGAAUCGGUCCACCAUAAAAAAAGUGGUGGUUCCACAUGGGCAAAGAUGUCGGUGCCAUUUUUACCACUAGAAGAAGGAGCCUUUUCACUACUAGCUUCCCCCUUGUUGGAGAUAGCAUCCGUCACCUUGUCGGUGGGAUCACCCACUUUCAACGGUGCAGCGGAUAGUUUAAGCCCUUCAAUGAAUUUAGUAAACAUGCUUUCAACCUCGGUCGUCAUUGAGGUUAUCAAUGUCUCCAAGGCUACAUUGAAUUCCUCAUGGGAGACCGAGGUUCCCCCAUCACCCAUAGACGAGAUCGGAUUUACACCGGAGUUCUCCUCCACACCGUCUACGCUGUCAACCAUACUCUUCGGACGGUAAAGUCCUUAGUAAAGAGAUGAGGCUCUGAUACCAAUUGAAAGGAUCGAUAUGGUUGACUAGAGGGGGGUGAAUAGGCAACUAAUAAUUUUUAACUUUUCUUUACCAAAUUCAACUUUGCAUCAAAGUAGGUUGUCUAGAUGUGCAACUAGGUGAGCAACCUAUAUGAUGCAACAACGAACAUACAAGCAAGCAAGAGAAGUAACACUAAUAAGCUUGCACAAGUAAAGGUAAGAGAUAACCAAGAGUGGACCCGGUGAAGACGAGGAUGUGUUACCGAAGUUCCUUCCUUUGAGGGGAAGUAUGUCUCCGUUAGAGCGGUGUGGAGGCACAAUGCUCCCCAAGAAGCCACUAGGGCCACCGUAUUCUCCUCACUCCCUCACACAAUGUGAGAUGCCGUGAUUCCACUAUUGGUGCCCUUGGAGGCGGCAAUCGGACCUUUACAAACAAGGUUGGGGCAAUCUCCACAACUUAAUCGAAGGCUCCCAACAACACCAUGAAACUUCACCAUAAUGGACUAUGGCUCCGUGGUGACCUCAACCAUCUAGGGUGCUCAAACACCCAAUAGUAACAAGAUCCGCUAGGUAUAGGUGGGGGAAUCAAAUAUCUCUUGGUGGAAGUGUAGAUCGGGGCCUUCUCAACCACUCCCGAGCAAAUCAACAAGUUUGAUUGGCUAGAGAGAUAGAUCGGGCGAAAAUGGAGCUUGGAGCAUUAAUGGAGCUUGAGGGGGAAGAGGUAGGUCAACGAAGAAGAAGGGGACCCCCCCUUUUAUAGUGGGGGUAACAAUCCGACCGUUACCCCACAAAAUAGCCCCGCAGAGGGCGGUACUACUGUAGUGGGCAGCUGUACUACCGCUGGACCCAGUGGUACUACCGCUCCCCCUUACGGUACUACCGCCCAGACAGAGAGAGCAUGAAGGCGGAGGAGGGGCUAGCCCGGUGCGGUACUGCUAGACAGACCCAGCACGGUACUGCCGCGGUGGCAGGGCGGUACUACUGCACCUACUGCCGUUGCAGGUGUCACUCAACCCGACACGAGAAGUGCCCCCCUCGAGUCGAGGCGGCAGUGGCCCGGUACCGCAGCGGUACUGCCGCUGAGGACGCACAAGCGGUACUACCGCUGGGGCUAAAGACAACUCAAUCUGCAGGGAAAAAGACCUCCAACGACGCGGGAAGGCCCAGAGGGUGCGAAACGAAAGUGUACGUGAUGAUUCCACCCUAGUCAUACCAAAGCGGACCCCCUCUUGAUAGUACGAUGACUCCUAAGAAACUAGUCCACCAACAAGAAACGAAAGAGCUACACCGUCUUGAAAAACACUCCGAGGGGAAAGAAAUCGUCUCGAGCCAAAGGAUGAAUCUCUGAAACGCUCAACGCACAAGGUUAGUCCGCAAAUAUGUUGUCAUCAAUCACCAAAACUACAUCGAGAGAGAUAUGCCUUAACAAGUGCCUUUGCAUGAAAAAGAGCUACUACUACAAUUCCCACACUUUUCUCAGCAUGCUAGGAAUAGUAGUAGCAAGCUUAGGUGAAACGCAUUGUUGCUAAGUUGGUUGUAGCAGCGCUUUUUCUGGGAGAAGCGCUACUGCUAAUGAAAAUAGAAUAAAAUGAAAAACAAAUACAAAAGUAAAUGAAAAUAAAAGAAAUAAAAAAAGGAGAAAGGAAAAAAGAAAAUAUAAAGGAAAAUAAAAGAAAAAGGAAAAUAAAUGAGAAAGGCAUAGCAGUAGCGGGCUUUCACAACAAGCGCUAUAGCUAAUGUAGCAGUAGCGCAUUCCUUGUACCCCCGCUAUAGAUAAUUUCCUUAAAUAAAGAAGAAAGGAAAAAAGAAAAGUAAAUAAAAAAAGGAAAAGGAAAAGGAAAAAGGAAAAUAAAAAUAAAUAGCUACUGCCUAUAGCAGUAGCGCGUUUUGGCAGCCAGCGCUAUAGCUAAGUUAGCUAUAGCGCUUUUCUGCGCCAUCGCUACCAUUACUCUUGACUUAACCCCCGCGCGGUUUUUCUCCCCCGCGACCACUUCCCCCAAAUCCCCCCUUUGCUAUCGCCGCCGUCGUCACCCUACAAUGUCGUCGCCCGUCGGUCGCCGCGCGCCCUCCCGUCGCCCUCUGCACGUCGUCUGCUACCCUCGAUGGCCGUCUGGUGCUCGCCCUCCACCGCGCGCCCGAGCCCUGACCCCGACCUCGACGCCGCGCGCCCCCUCCCUCGGCCGCUCUGCCUCCUCCUGCCCGAGGUGAGCACGCCUACACUUGCUCCUCCUCCCCUACAUCUGCCCAGCUAGGGUUCAUUAAAUUUUAGGGUUCAUCAAAUUAGCUAGGGUUCAUCUAAUUAGUUAGGGUUCAUCAAAUUAGCUAGUACUUGUACAUGCUUAAGUAGUUCUAUAGUUGUUGUGCACCCAAUGUAGUUAACUAAAUCUAAUUUCUAGGACAAAUUUGUAUAUGCUUAAGUAGUUAACUAAAUAUUUUUAGGACAAAUUUGUAUAUGCUUAAGUAUUUAACUAAAUAUAUUUUAGGGUUGUAUAGUUGCUUAAGUACUUGUAUAGUUGUUCUGCACCCAAUGUAUGCUUAAGUAGUUGUAUAAUUCCUGGGGUUCAUCAAUGGGUGCUUAAAUAGUUGUAGAUGCUUAAGUAGCUAGCUAGGGUUCAUCUAAUUAGUCAGUACUUGUAGAUGCUUAAGUACUAGGGCAGUAGGGUUUAACUAGAUGUCAAUUAGGGCAAUAGGAUUUAAUGUAGAGAGAAAAUUCAAUAUAAAAAUAAAAAUUUCUACUAGUGCUGCAAGUCCAGUAGGUUCUUGAUUUUUACUAAUUUUUUAUUAUGACAGAAAUUUAGGACAUAAUUUGAAUUGAGUUCUAGGGUUCAUAAUUUGAAAUUUAGGACCGAAAUUGAGUCCUAGGGUUCAUAAUUUAUAUUAGGACGACAAUUUUGGACAGAAAUAUGUAAAGGUUCUAGGUUUUUAGGGUUCAUCCAUCUAUAUUUGGUUUUUGAAUUGAGUUUGAGAGAGCAUGAGAUCUGUGUAGAUUUUCUUGAAGUGUCAAACACCAGGAGAUGCAAAUUUGAAGUGGUCAUGUUAUAUGCAAAUUCCUUAAUAGUGUUUUCUCAUGUAUAUCUACUGUUGUAGUUGCUCAUGUACAAGUUCUUAAGUGGUCCUGUUAUAUGCAACAUUGAAGUGGUUCGAUUGUGCCCAAGUGGCCUUUUGUUGUUUGCAUGGAAUGAUUCCGAGUGGCCUAUGUUUUGCGAAAUGUUGAUUCAUUUCUGUUCCGACAAAUUUCUGGCGCUUGAUUUUUCCACUUUGUAGCAAAGGUCAUGCCAAAAUUUUCCAUGAAUUUCGGCAUGACUUGUGCUACAAACUAGGACAUACCGAGUGCCCGGGAUUUGCCGCAACGGGAAUGAAUCAACAUUCCUGGAAAAUAUAGGUCUUUUUAUGUCAUUAUUUAAUUUAUUAGGUCUAGAAUUAAUUGACUAGAUUUAAUCAUAGGAAACAUGGCUAGAAACGAUGAAGGACAUGGUUCUGGUGAUUGCAACGUCUAUGAGGCGGCAGACGCCUAUUUGAACUAUCUCGAGGAGCAACAGUUGUUGCAGUGCCCACCUGUCACAUCCGAGACUCCGACGCUCUACGUGGUUAACUUACCGCAGCAAAGGUUGUACGUCAACACAUUCCCCACGGAAAAGUUCUUCCUUCGAUUUGAUUACAUCUUCCACAUGUUUCACUUGAAAAACCUGGAUUUUACGUUUGUUCGCCUUUUUCCUUAUACAUGAACUACAUUAUCAGGAUUGAGCAAAUACCUUAUAUCUGUGUCGCUGACCCGUACUUCAUGCACGAGGGCUUCUUGGCAGUCUGCCCAAAGCACCAUGAAUACGCGAGUAACUACAUCGCCGAUUUCAUGGUCAGCAAUAAGGACAAGGAGAUGAUUCUCGUGUGUUAUCAUCGCAUGUAAGUCAUCCGCGGAUACCCUUCCUUCGAUUUCACUCAUUUUUUUGCAUGUGUGGAGGCUAAUUUGAGGUGUACUUAUUUUGCGCAGUGACGGGCGCGUCGUUCUCAGCAUCCUUUACCCCCGGUUCUCCCACGCGCUUUACUUGGACUCGUCAAAGAACAUGAAGAAAAAGGAUUACACCCACAUCAAGUCUGUUCUCGACAGUGCUCUCUUAAGCUACGACCUACCGGGUGGAGAGAUCAUGCUCAAGAAGACAAGGUACCGUGUGCCCGCCUUCGGCCAUAAGACCGACUUCUGCUGCAUCCAUCAACUGAGUGGUACUCUCAGUGAUGGAUUCUAUGUCCUCCACCACAUGCUGGAGUACAGACCGGAUCAGCAGAACUUCGCGUGUCACCUAAAAUUAGGAGAUGUCCCGGAUCAUCAACUCCGAGCUGAGUUCUAUCACAUCCAGCGUGAACUUGCCCAAAUCAUCAUGAAGGAGGUCCUAAAAAAUAGGGUUGUUCUACGAAGAAGGGCAAAUGUCGCGGGAAGACGUCCGAACAUGCGUAGCCGCUCAGCGUCUUGACCUGAAGCCUUUCACUACGCUCGGGGAUUAUCUCCCUGAUUUGGAUGGAUGGCACGACAUGUUGGAGUGAUUGACAAUAUAUGACAAUGUUUUUGUUUAGUCCAUACUUUCUCUAUGACGAAACUUUGAGUUAUGCACGACGAAACUUUGUGAUUUAAUUAAACUGUCCUCCUCAACUAGCGAAGAUCACUCUAGUUAGGGCAUUUUGGGUACGAUGAACUUUGUUAUUUAUGCUUAUGAUAUGUUGCUUCUAAUUUUGUCAACUCUGUCUCUUUCUGUUGCUCAACUAUAUAUGUUGCAUAUUAUCAACUCAUGUGACGAUGCAGAUACAUAGAUCAUCGAUGGCGAAGAAGUGCUAUGCCAGGAGUAUACGCCGAGUGGCCUGAGUGUCAGGCCCAGGUGUACCGGUUUCCGAGCGACAACCAGAGAGGGUUCGAUAGCAGAGCUGAAGCGGAAAAUAGUUAGUUUAGGUUCACGCUAAUGCGAGAGAGGGAUCUGAACCGGCGCCUCAAGAAGUACUACAUUAUGUAUGACGAGACAUGUCAGUUAACUUGUAUCGCUAUAUCGUGAUUAUGAUAUGAUGACAUGAUUUGUGCUGGAUGAUAUGAUGAGACUAUUAUGUGUAUGAUAUGAUGAGCAUAUUGCAUAUUUAUGGUAUGAUUAGAAUACUGUAUAAAACCUAUACAAAAACAUCGCAAAUAUGUAAAAAAAAUGUGAAAAUAUAGUAGUAGCGCUCUUUAGCGCUGGACAGGAAAACACUACUGCUAAGCCACUUAGCAGUAGCGCUGGUAUGGACAACGCUACUGCUAAGUAGGUAUAGCAGUAGCGCUACUACAUUAUGUAUGAUGAGACAUGUCAGUUAACUUGUAUCGCUAUAUCGUGAUUAUGAUAUGAUGACAUGAUUUGUGCUGGAUGAUAUGAUGAGACUAUUAUGUGUAUGAUAUGAUGAGCAUAUUGCAUGUUUAUGAUAUGAUUAGAAUACUGUAUAAAACCUAUACAAAAACAUCGCAAAUAUGUAAAAAAAUGUGAAAAUAUAGUAGUAGCGCUCUUUAGCGUUGGACAGGAAAACACUACUGCUAAGCCACUUAGCAGUAGCGCUGGUAUGGAAAACGCUACUGCUAAGUAGGUAUAGCAGUAGCGCUGGUCAAAAUGUGUGUGACGCCCCGAUUCCGACGCGCCAGGUGUCUUUCAGUUAUUCGUUAUUGUUGCCUUGUCUUUUGCUUGCGUGUUGUAUUUCAUCAUGUCACCUUUUCCAUCGCAUCAUGCCAUCAUUUCUUUAAUUUUAUAACUUUUAUAAAUAAAUUGCAUGGAUCUUCGGUCCAUUUAAAUCGAGGGAAUGCACAUGGUGUUUUUCUCUUUAUAACAUAUAUCCUCCCAAUAUUAUUAGGGAGCUAUAAAAUAAUAUUCCAUUAGUUUGGAAUUAACCGCAAACACACUUGCAAUUUAAACUCUCAAGUCUAUUCUGCUUCGAGUUGCUCCUCAAACCUUGCCAUAUUUUUUUCAUCAUUUUCUGGAGCUCCAUCAAAAAUCCGAACAUUUUUGGACCUUCCUAACCCUCACUUCCUAUUCGAACCUUUUGAAUUCAAAUCAAAUGAGUUUGAAUUUAAACUUUGAAAUAUGCCCACUCCAUUUUUCUUGGAUCGUACUCAUUUUAUGAGUCCGGGAAAUUUAACCGCAUACCCAAAUUCUUUCUCUAACUCCCCCCCCUCUUCCUUUUUCUCCUCUCUAUGCUUUCUGUUAAAGGGAAUAUAUAUAUAUAUAUAGAGAGAGAGAGAGAGAGAGCAGAGCCCAGCUGGUCACUUGGGCCUCCUAGCUAGGCCGGCCCAUUGGCCCAGCCGCCCUCAACCCUAGCCGAUCGCCCUUGGUCCCUCCUAGCCUCGCCAGAGGGAUCGAGAGAUCCCUCGACCUCUCCCCUCUGCCCGAUUCCCCAACCUCUCCUCCCGUCCUCCCCGCGCCUGGCCCUCUCCUCCCAGUGCCUUCGCGAGUGCCAGGGAUGCCGCCCGCUCCCUGCAGUCGCCCCUCGCCGGAUCCUGCAGGCCGCCGCCCGGUUCCCUCGCGCCCCGCCGGAUCUCCAUCCUCACGCCGGCGAGCAUGACGCCCUCCGCGCGGCCCCCCUUCCUCUGCUACUCCUCCUUCUCUGUUGCGUCUCUGCUCCAUCGCCGGACUGCUGCCCUCCGUUGCGCCCAUCCAUCCUUCCAUCUCCCUGUGUCGCGCCUCGACGACACAGAGGCCCGAGCUUCGGCCGGGAGCAGCCGCAGCUACGUGGCGCCCGCCACCAAGCAGUCGUGCAUCAACGGCCAUCUCUCCGCCGCCUCCUGCCUAGCUUGCAUCCCCGUCGCUCCUCCUCGGCUUCUGUGUGGACCUCGUCCCGAAGACCCCAGGACACAGCUCCGGUCUCUUGUACCCGUGCUGCACCACCACGACCCGAUGACGCCCUGCCCGGCGUGCUUGCGCGCCCAAUGGUGACCUCCACCGCGGACCUAUUCGCGUGAAGCCCCUACUCCUCCACCAUCAGUGUCCGGCGACUCCGUUCCGUGCCUUGCUGCUGCUGCAGGCCAUGAGCUCUCCGGCUACCGCAGGAACGCCAUGGUCAAGACCACCUCCGCGAGGAACGCAAGACGCAUCCUCCAUGCACCCCCGCUUGUGGCUGUUAACGUCAAGACCAUCCCGGUUUUUCGCCAAGCACCACCACCGGCAAGUACAACUACACCACGUCGAUACAAGUCCCACUACCGUCGCCUCCGGAAGCCUCGGAUCCGUCAAGUCCCUCGACGACAAGUGCAUGACUAUAUGGAUUGUAUCAAGUACCCCCCUUCGAGUUGACGAUAUCGGCAAGUGCGAAACACCAAGUACCACGACGACCAUCGAUAUGUACCCCUACACUAAAACGCCGAGUACCUCGCCGUGACUCCGAACAUCUACGAAAACUUGUGCGACUACGAACGUGAUCAACUACCGUCGCCAUGGAUACGACAAGUUUGCAAGUACAACUACUUCCUCAACGACCCGCGAGAACCGCUACUUUCACUACCGUCGCGAGAACAACUACUUCCCUCGACGUACCCGAAACGCUCCGAGAAUGCACCCUUGGAAGGUAUAACCAUCAAGACAACCGCCCGUGGACCGAAUGCAUGUUUGUAUGUUGUAUCCGCCCGUGAACGUUAGUUGUUCCUCCUCGUUGGCACGCCGUCGAUCCGUGGGAACCCGGUAUCCGGGAUCACCCCACCAUCCUUGCAUGACACGCUCCCGUCGCCUUUUCUUUUGCCCCGGCAUCUCAAUCGAGUUACCGGAACCGGAACAUUGCCGUGGCACCAUUUCCGUUGGCGUUGCCGUGGCACCCCUUUCGUCUCCGCCACGAUGACAAAUGAUUCAUAUAAUGCUCUUAUCAACAUUUUAAUCAAACUUGCAUAAACUUGCAUAGGUCAUCCACAUCAUGAUAACAACAUUUAAAUGUUUAAAAUUGUUGUUUGCAUUAAUUUGCAAAUGCAUAUGGGGUUUGUCGAAUUUGUUGUUUGUUAUAUCCGGCCCCAUUUAAAUUGUUUAGAUAGUAUAGUUUUCUUAUGCUUCACCCUCUUGCCAUGUUUAACAACAUUUAGUAUUGAUGGGUACAUAAACGGGAGAGAACUAAAUAAGCCACGUGGUGUUCCGUCAAUAUGCAACUCGUUGCAUAUUGGGCUCCACUUAACUUGUAGUUUUGUUUGUGCACUUUGCCAUGCCAUGCAUAUUUAAACUGGACAUGCAUCAUACUUGAUUGUGCAUCAUGCCAUGUUUAUGUGAUGGUUGUUUACUUUGUUGCUUGUUUCUUUCCGGGUUGCUCUCUCGUUAGCUUCGAUUUUGUUCCGGAGUUGUGAGGAUUCGUUCGACUAUGUCCAUUUAUCUUCUUCAUGGAAUCGUUCUUCUUCCUUGCGGGAUCUCAGGCAAGAUGACCAUACCCUCGAAAUCACUUCUAUCUUUGCUUGCUAGUUGCUCGCUCUAUCGCUAUGCCGCGAUACCUACCACUUGCUAUAUCAUGCCUCCCAUAUUGCCAUGUCAAACCUCUAACCCACCUUUUCUAGCAAACCGUUGUUUGGCUAUGUUACCGCUUUGCUCAGCCCCUCUUAUAGCGUUGCUAGUUGCCGGUGAAGAUGAAGUUUGUUCCAUGUUGGAACAUGGAUAUGUUGGGAUAUCACAAUAUCUCUUAUUUAUAUUAAUGCAUCUAUAUACUUGGUAAAGGGUGGAAGGCUCGGCCUUAUGCCUGGUGUUUUGUUCCACUCUUGCCGCCCUAGUUUCCGUCAUACCGGUGUUAUGUUCCUUGAUUUUGCGUUCCUUACACGGUUGGGUGUUAUGGGGACCCCUUGACAGUUCGCUUUGAAUAAAACUCCUCCAGCAAGGCCCAACCUUGGUUUUACCAUUUGCCUCACCACCACCUACUUUUCCCUUGGGAGUCGCGCUCCCAAGGGUCAUCUUUAUUUUAAGCCCCCCCGGGCCAGUGCUUGUCUAAGUGUUGGUCCGAACUGAGUAGACUGCGGGGCCACCUCGGGGGAAACUUGAGGUUUAGUUUUACUCGUAGGAUGUCUCAUUCGGUGUUGCCCUGAGAACGAGAUAUGUGCAGCUCCUAUCGGGAUGUCGGUGCAUCGGGCGAUCUUGCUGGUCUUGUUUUAUCAUUGUUGAAAUGUCUUGUAACCGGGAUUCCGAGUCUGAUCGGGUAUUCUUGGGAUAAGGAAUAUCCUUCGUUGACCGUGAGAGCUUGUGAUGGGCUAAGUUGGGACACCCCUGCAGGGUUUUGAACUUUCGAAAGACGUGCCCGCGGUUAUGGGCAGAUGGGAAUUUGUUAAUAUCCGGUUGUAGAGAACUUGACACUUAACUUAACUAAAAUGCAUCAACCGCGUGUGUAGCCGUGAUGGUCUCUUUCCGGCGGAGUCCGGGAAGUGAACACGGUUCUUGUGUUAUGCUUGAACGUAAGUAGUUUAGGAUCACUUCUUGAUCACUUCUAGUUCACGACCGUUGCAUUGCUUCUCUUCUCGCUCUUAUUUGCGUAUGUUAGCCACCAUAUAUGCUUAGUGCUUGUUGCAGCUCCAUCUCAUUACCCUAUCCUACCCAUAAGCUUAAAUAGUCUUGAUCUCACGGAUGUGAGAUUGCCGAGUCCUCGUGGCUCACAGAUACUUCCAAACAGUUGCAGGUGUCGACGAUACCAGUGCAGAUGACGCAACCCAGCUCCAGUGGGAGCUCGAUGAAGAUCUUGUUCGUUGUGUUGUUUCAUUUCCUGUUGAUCAGUAGUGGAGCCCAAUCGGGUCGAUCGGGGAUCUAGCAUUUGGGAUUGUCUUUAUUUAUGUUGGUUCCAUAGUCGGACCUUGAUUGUAUUCUGGAUGAUGUAAUGCUAUAUUUAUGUAUUGUGUGAAGUGGCGAUUGUAAGCCAACUCUUUAUCCCUUUUUUAUUCAGUACAUGGGAUGUGUAAAGAUUACCCCUCUUGCGACAUGCCUACCAUGCGGUUAUGCCUCUAAGUUGUGCUUCGACAUGUGGGAGAUAUAGCCGCAUCGUGGGUGUUACAAUGUGUUACUGCUAAAUGUUAGCUUUAGCGCCGUAUCAGUAGCUAGCCCUUAGACUUGCGCUACUGCUAGGCUUUUCCCUAGUAGUGUUGGGAUUCUCUCUUUUGUGAUUUGUGAAUUUUGAUAGAGCCUGUGUUUGGGGAGAUGGAUUACGUUGAGAGGCAAAACGCUAAUUAAGAGAGAGAGGUUAAUUAAUGGCGAUUAAGAUGGGAGUGUGCCUUGCGUGAUUGUGGGAGUUGGCCACGCAGGGCGUGGGGGUGUUUUCCUCCGCGCUGGAGUACAGUCAGUCAAUGCACGCGGAAAAUAGAUUAGGAUAUGGCGGCUGCUACAAAUAAGUCGGAUGAUUUCCCCAGGAAAUCAUCCGGCUAGCCAGCCGUCCGAUCUGGCGCCUGUUUUGUUCGAUGGCAGCAGCCUGUCCCCGAUCCAUACCGCGUCCUCCUUUGUAGUGAUGAAGGUGCAACAGCCCCUUGUCAAAUCCACACCGCGCCUCCUCGAACACAAGGUUGGUGCAGCAAAAACAAUGGAUUGGCAACGGCGUCGGCGACCUCUCAGCACCGAAGCCGGCGGAGAUGCUGCUUCAUAGCUCCAAAAGAGUCGUCGGCGUCCCGCUCCAUCAUAGCGCCGAGACUCACCGAGGGGCUGCAGUGACGACACCCCGACGAAGCUCCAGUGCAGCUCCAUGGAAGCACCGUCGACGCCGGCGAAGCUGCAUUGCAACCCCGGCGACGCUGCAUUGCAGCUCUGGUGGAGCUCCAUUGCAGCCGCGACAAAGCUCGAACAACCCCGGCGACUCCCAUUGCAGUCGCGGCGAAGCGCCAUUGCAGCAACAAAGAAGCUCCGACGACCCCCGGCGACCCUCCAUUACAUCCCGGCGGCGCUCCAUUGUAGCUCUAGUGGAGUUCCAUUGCAGCCACGACGAAGCUCGAACGACCCCAACGCUGCUCCAUUGCAGCCACGGCUGACGGCGGAGCUCCGACGACCCUUAAUUGCAGCCACGGGCGCACUCAUUGCAUCGCCGAUGAUGACAACGGAUGUUGCGACGCAGCAUGCGACAGCCAUGGCGGAAGCUGCGACGACAGCGGAAUCUGCGGUGGAGCGUGGGGAUGCUGCGAUGCAACUCCGGUGAGGCUCUAUUGCAGCCCCGACGGUGUGAGGAUGAAUGGCCAUGGGCCGACGGCCGUCACCUCCUCCGCUACGGUGAAACUGCUUAGAACAAGAGAAGGGAAAGGAAAAGAAUCGAUGGAGGAUAUGUUUAGUGGAAGAAGAUAAGGUGUAGGCGAUUGGAGUGGUGGGUGGGCCCCCACAGCGCCACGUGUAGCACGGGAAGAGCGGCUUACGGGAGAGAGUUAUCAUCCGACUUAAUCUAAACGCUUUCCUUAGGAUAUGGCUAGCCGUUAGGUGAGUUUAGUGGGCCUAAUCAUGCGGUGGUAAUUAGUCUGUGUAUAUUUUGUUGGGUAUGUUUAAAGAAAAUUUUGUUUGUUCUUUUGUAAGUAAUGUAGAUUGAUACCUUUUUUUAGAUAUAAGAUUUGGUUAUUUUUUUAGUCUACUUUUUUUUGAGAAACAAGCCUCUUUUGAGUCUAGAUAAGAUUGAUUUUUUUUAGAACUUCUAGAUAAGAUUGAUUUUUUUUUUGAGACAAAGAUAAGAUUGAUACGUUGUCUUGAAACCUAAUAACAUCCAACAAAGAAGAGAUGGGCCAGCCCACCCAGUCCUGAAGCCUGAUAUCCGAAUUGCACUUGGGAGGCCUUCUCCGAGUCACAGGAAGAGUCGGUCCGCGUAACAAGGGCCAGCCCACCCAGCUGCCGACUUACUUAACCCAGGCUCCUGGCAACCUCCCUAUCCCUUUUCCCCAAAAUAAUACGGUACCACAAGUCGAACCAAACCCUAGCUUCUCCUCAUCGAUCCCCGAUCCCCAUCCGGCGACUCGCCGGAACCCUAGCCCAGAUCCGCGGCAACUCCGCCGCACCAGCCAUGGGGACCCUCAGGGAGAUCCUGCCGUCGCCCAAGACGUCGUCGUCCACCUUCUACGACCACAGCAGCGACCCGUGGUUCAAGGAGCGGUACGGCGGGGAGCCCGCGGAGGCGGCGGCGGGGAAGCUUGCGGGCCCCGCCAAGCCCGUGCCUCCCUACGGCAAGCGCACCGGCUUCGUGCCCCGGCGGCCGGAGGACUUCGGCGAUGGCGGCGCCUUCCCCGAGAUCCUCCUCGCGCAGUACCCGCUCGGCAUGGGCCGCCGCGACGACAAGGGCGGGUCCAAGAUCCUCGCGCUCACCGUCGACGCGCAGGGCAGCGUCGCCUUCGACGCCGUCGUCAAGCAGGGCGAGAACGCCAAGAAGAUCGUCUACUCCAAGCACAGCGACAUCGUGCCCAAGAUCGCCACGGCCGACUCGGAAGCCGUCGAGGACGAGGAGUACGACAAGGAGGUCGAGGAGACCAAAGAGCGGACCGUAGCUGCCCUGCAGAAGAUUGUCAACGUCCGCCUCUCUGCUGCCCAGCCCAAGAACGUUCCGACGCAUGAUUCGGAAUCAAAGUUCAUCAAGUAUAAGCCGUCGCAGCAGUCGGCAGCGUUCAAUUCAGGUGCCAAGGAGAGGAUUAUUAGGAUGUCGGAGAUGGCUUCGGAUCCUCUUGACCCACCAAAGUUCAAGCAUAAGCGGGUGCCCCGUGCGUCUGGGUCGCCGCCUGUGCCCGUGAUGCACUCGCCACCACGGCCCGUCACAGUGAAGGACCAGCAGGAUUGGAAGAUCCCACCUUGCAUUUCAAAUUGGAAGAAUCCAAAGGGUUACACAAUCCCACUCGACAAGAGGUUGGCAGCUGAUGGGAGGGGGCUGCAGGAGGUUCAGAUUAAUGAUAACUUUGCAAAGCUUUCAGAAGCAUUGUAUGUUGCAGAGCAGAAGGCGAGGGAAGCAGUGCAGAUGCGCUCCAAGGUGCAGAGGGAGCUAAUGCUAAAGGAGAAGGAGAGGAAGGAGCAAGAGCUGAGGGCACUUGCACAGAAGGCCCGCAUGGAAAGGUCUGGUGCUCCACCUCCAUCUACAGGUAUGCCUGUCGGAGGUGGGAGGGAGAGAGAGCGGGAGAGGGUUGUUGAUGAUGGGGAUGCAGAUAUGGAUUUGGAGCAGCCACGUGAGCAGCGCAGGGAAACUAGAGAAGAGAGGGAGGCGAGGAUUGAGCGUGACAGGAUCCGUGAGGAGCGGAGGCGUGAGAGGGAGAGGGAGAGGAGGCUGGAGGCAAAGGAGGCUGCUGGAACGCAUAAAAAGAGUAAGCUCACUAGAGACAGGGACCGUGACGUUGGUGAGAAGGUGGCCCUGGGUAUGGCACACACUGGUGCGAAGACCGGGGAAGUCAUGUAUGACCAGAGGCUCUUUAACCAGGACAAGGGAAUGGACUCUGGUUUUGGUGCUGAUGAUCAGUACAACCUGUAUUCGAAGGGCCUCUUCACAGCACAGUCCAGUAUGUCCUCACUUUACAGGCCCAAGAAGGAUGGUGAUUCUGAAGUGUAUGGUGGUGAUGCCGACGAACAGUUGGAGAAGGUUAUGAAGACAGAGAGGUUCAAGCCUGACAAGGCAUUUACCGGUGCUCCAGAGAGGGCUGGCAAGAGAGAUAGACCCGUGGAGUUUGAUAAGCAAGAGGAGGCUGAUCCAUUUGGUCUUGAUCAGUUCUUGACUGAGGUGAAGAAGGGAAAGAAAGCUGUGGACAAGAUUGGUGGCGGAGGAACUAUGAAGGCAAGUGGUGGAUCUUCAAGGGAUGAUUACGAGGGUGGGGGGUCUGGGAGGUCUCGCAUUAACUUCGAAAGAGGAGGGCGUUGAGGUAUUUGCAGUGCACAUUUAUCUUCUGCAAUUUUCAUGUCCUCAGUGCAUUUUCAAAUAUCAUCCCGAAGGAUUUCUUUGGAGAAUAUGAUCCUUCUUACACAAGGAAGAACGCAAAUAUCAUCCUGAAGGAUUUCUUUGGAGAAUAUGAUCUUUCUUGCAGAAGGAAGAACCUGAUGCUUUAGUUGCUGUGAUAUGGCUGCUUGUUCUAUUUCAACCGGAGUGUUAAACGGUGUACUUACUUAUUAGAUCCUACGAUGCUUGUAUGCUGUGUAUCUUUGUGACGGGAUCCAUGAACUUUGUCGUUGCACAUGUUACAUAGGCUCAUCCAUGCCCUGUUAAUUUCAAAGCUGUAUCGAAGUCGUAAUAUAUCUGGCUGAACUGGGUAUAUGUGUCAUCUCUUGUUUAUCAUGCUUACUGGUUGGAUGAGUUUGUGGUCGUUUUCCAAAAUAAGCAGGGAGAUGUUUGAAGAAGAAUGCCCUUCAACCUUGCUUGCGCUUGUUUUAUUCAUUUG
rnacentral:lncRNA from 1 species